rnacentral:lncRNA from 1 species
CCGCCUUUUUUUGGUUCGUCGUUUGGCUUCGUUUGUCUGCCUCGCCGCUCAGUUUUUCUCAAGAACAGUCCGUCUCCCCGCCCACGUUCGCCGACAGACGCACCUCACCUCCUCCGUGCUGCACCCGGCCGCACCUCCUCCAUCCGCCCUCCGCCACUUAGCCAAGCCGUGCCUCACCUCCUCUGUCCUCCGAGCGCGGAACCACGCCCGCGCUUUCCCCGCCCGGCCGCACCUCCUACCUGCUACGCUCGGCCGCAGCUCCUCUGUCCGCCGCCAAGACGGGCCACCUCCGUCCGCUGGGCGUCCAACACCGGCGCGCCACUGCCCAGCUGCCCCUCCACACCCCUCCACACCGGCGCCAUCCCCGGCUGCUCCUCCAUGAAGGGAUCUCCAAAUUAGUCCCAUAUGCAGCGGAGGUGAGAAGAUGGAGGCACGAGAGGUGGGGCCUAUCUCGAGCCCGGUGUCAUCUGCCUUCAUGAAGGGAUCUCCAGGUUAGUCCCUUAUGCAUGCAAACAAAUCUAAUCAGCAGCCUCUCCUUUGCACCAACGAACAGAUCCAAUUGUUCUUGAAAAUCAGGUCCAAGUUCACAUCUCUUUUGCCCUCCCACUCAAAGCACAAUCAGCCAGCGCGACAGGGAUGGCGACACAGACACCGACGGCUGGAGCUCCCUCAAUGCUGCCAGGUAAUUGACUAGCCAAUUACUAUUUGGAUGUGAUGCACAUUGGUCACGGAUUUGUAAAUCUAUCAGUUCCUGCUUCCUGCAUCCAUUUGUGCAGUUCUUGUGGUGGAUGCAGUGCACUGAGUAUAGAAAUUAUUUUUGAUUACUUCUGUGAAACGUUUUGGCCUUGGCAAGUAUGUACAGAUUUAGUUGUUGUUUUUUCAGUCAGAGGUGAGCUACGUGUAUGGGAAAGAAAAACUUGAUUGCUUGUUCUAGAUCUUGCCUUCAUAUAAACUGUGAUGCUAUCAACAUGGAGAUUUGAUGCAUUCUACUCUCUCUCUAUUUAACAUGGAAAAGAACUCGUGUUUACUCAAUAAUGCUUAUGAAUUUUCCUUAGAGUUGCAUUUAUUCAUCAUUCUAAAGUAUUCCGUGUCAAGUAAACUCAUACUUCUAAUUUUUCAAAAAAAAAAUCUGAAAUCAAUGAACCCCUCCUUCCUUGUGAAAUUGUUGUACCUUUUUUCUUAUGACAUCUUAUCUACUUCCACUUUCCUGGUGCAGAAUUUUUGAAAGUAGGAAACGUAAGCAAUGACAGUGACAGUCGCAGCAAUACUGAGCUCAAUAGGUGAACUAGACAAACCAUUCUGCUGUAGUUCAUUUUAUCACUGCAGUCAUCGUCAGACAAUGAGGUCAGAACCAGCAGGUUCGCAGAGUGACUUGUGACUUGUGGAUAAUCCUGCAGAUUCAACAAUGGUAAAGUAACGAAUGGUUAAGGUAUAAGUAGAUUUACUCAAUUAUACUCCAAUAGCUAAUGCAUUGCAUAUAUUGCUUGGCCGUGUAUAUAAAUAUUACAUCACUGUUCAACAUAAGUAAAUAGCUUAGUCCUUCUUAAGUCCAUUUUGGUAAAAGCUAUAGUUCAAUUAGUUUUCUUGAUUUUCUUAAAAUUUUACUCAAAGUUUGUGCCUUAUGUUGUACAUUUGCCUCACGGGCUGGCUAACUGACCUACAUGAGGCUGGCCAACUGAUCUGGAGGUUCACUAUCUAUGUUCUUUCAUUUCAUUGUCAAACAUAGAUAUUCUAAAUCUGAAAGUCUGUCGAAAUUUCCUAUGGAGUCUUGUGGUACCUUUAGUGUUUCUUAUCAUGUCCAGUAGAAGGUCUUGGAAAACAUAUUUGCAAUACAUGAUAUUUUUUAAAUCAAAAGUAGUAAUAUGCUGUGUAAUUGCCUUCUUGCCUCCUGACAUGUGGCAAAUUCAUUGAGCGUUUUCACUUACAUCGCUGGCAUAUUCAGUGAACAACGCAAAGAUGAUGGUUUUGAGUGAGAGGUCCUUUGGUCAAGGUAAUUUCAGAGCAUUGAUUUUCAAUGUACUUGUAAACCCAAGAGAAAGUUGAGCAGGCCACAUUCAGUUGUUAACUGGACUGUUGGCUUGCUGCUAUGGCAACAUGUUUUCAGCCUUAUUAUUACUUGCCGAGUUUACAUUGGGAUCUGAAAACUGGACUGUGUGCCAUUAGUUUUGUCUGUCUCCAGGACAUUGCCCAUGCACAUGAACUGACUGAUUACCAUGAAAAUUCACCUGUUUCAGUUCCAAACUAAUUAUUGCUUCAAGGUCACAAAGCUAUAUGAAAAUCUGUAUCCAAUUGAAUGCCGGAACUCUCUAGGAUGAUGUCAGGCAUUCCCAUUUAUAGGUUAACCUGAAGUGAUUCUUGAAGAUUAGUUUCUGCGUGGUUGAUUUGAAUUGUUUGUAAUAUUGUAUGCUUCAUCUUGAUUACUAUCAAUUUCACAGGUCAUGUUCAUUGUGAGGAAUGGAGCGCAAUAAUGCUUUGUGGUAACUCUGGGCAGACGAAAAUAGGCCACCUCUACCAUUUUCUUGAUAUUUAUUUUCUGAUAUCUGACUAUUGUAUUUGUCGUGAAAUUUAAAUUGUAGACGCUAUCAGAUCAUGUGUCACUUCAUGCUUUGAUCAUGUGAAAAAAUUCAGUGUAUUUACCCAUGAUCGGUGCCUUGCCCCGAGGGGUCUUUAAUUCCUGGAGGGGUCUUUAAUUCCUGAAUUAGGCAACGGUGAAUUUUCUUCUUAAUAUAUAGAUGCGCAGCUCUCCCGCAUGUUCGAGAAAAAUGAGGCAACAGUGACACAGCGCUGGUAGAAAGUAGAAAGUGAAGAAGCGGUUUGAGCAUAUUGCUACUGACAGCUACCUCCGCAAGAUUUGGCCGGUACUGCAAGCUCUGAGUUUCACAACUCUGAACCACUUGGUAAAAAACAGUCUGAAUUUUGUGUUGUGAUUAACUGACUAGACAUCCGAAUAAAUUAAUGUACUGAUAUUCUGAAAUUUGUUUUAGCACUGGGACUCUCUGGACUAUCCGGUGGAAUCAGGCCUUGGCAGGACUGAGGCAGAUGUGGGGGGUGACACCGUGCAGGUGAGGUGGUGGUGGUAUCUGGCUCUGGCAUCUCCCUUUAUCCGCUUGAUGGAAUGGCAGCAUGGGUAUGGAGACACCUUCAGCAUCUAAACAAAGCCCAAAAGGUACAAAGAUACUAUUUAAUCACUUUUGAUUUGUUAAUUUGCUAUCAUAUAAAUUGCAGUAACAGGUCUUGAGUAAUAUGUCAAUGCUAUAAUUUUGCUUGCUUGUUGUGUGUCCUCUCUAAAAUCUUUUCUUUACCAUAUAUAUCCAUAUGCACAAGAUAUUUGCAGUUACAAGUAUAAUCCUCAAGGAGUGAAAAGCUUGUGAUUCUGUCCGUGCAGGCAACAGGCAUUGAUCGCUAAUCAGCAUGGCCUCCACAAGUACCCAUCAUGGGAAGUGCAGCAACCAGUAUUGUGUUCAAACCUGAAGAAAAUAUAUGGGGAUGGCUGGGUGGCUGCACAGCUCAUGGCAGGGACCAAUUUGGAGUCUGCAUCUUCUUUCCCAUAUAUAUAUGAUAUUUCCAUAUACUGUCAGGAUGCUAUUAAACUGCCUUCACCAGAUUACAAUAAACUGUGAACUUCAGAACUUUAAUUUUCGAUAAGUUGGAGUCGACGCUUAAAACUUCAGAGCUUUAUUUACUCCUAUGUACCAACAGCUCUAAAUUUUUGUGCACUGCACCCUUAGUUUUUUAGUGAACAAUACUGAUUGCUGAGGUUAUAAUGCAUCUUUCUAUGUGGGACUAUAGUUUUGUCAAGUAAGGCUAUGUACACAUUGAUAAAUCUGCUUCAGAAUAAUAUUGCUAAUAUCUCACUAUCUGAAGAAAGUCAGGUUUAUCAGUUAUUUAUAGAAGACUUGCUUGUUAGAAAGGACCUAAAUAGGUUUUCUUUGUCUAUGUGAAUUUUCGGGGAAUUCUGCUUAUCUUCCACGGAUAGAUGCUACUUCUCCUGUAAUAUUGAAUUGGGUCAUGUGUGUGUCAGCUCUUUGCUUGCCAAAGGAGCUUGUGACUUGCAACUACUACUACUUAUUCAAUGAUCUCUAAUAAUUGAAUCAUUUUGUUCAGAUUCUAAUUAUCAGGUCUUUUCCUCAUCUCUUUAUGUUUUGAGGUGUUGGAUGAGAAAGGGUUAAUGGUGGUUGCUACCAUUCUACAAGAAAUUAGAGAUUGUCAUUAUGAGUGCUGUAGUUGAAGUGGGGUUAAUGUUAAACCAUGAUGGUACCAAGGAGACUUCAUCCAUUUGAAUAUUCUACACUCAAGAAACAGAAAGGUGACAGUUGUCAAAUACAUAUUAUGAACUAGCUGAAAUUAAAAUAUUCUUGUAUUCCUUAGAUUAUUUGUGUCAUGCAAACUCCACUUUAGAAAAUUCCAUUCUAAAUUGCUGUGUGAGAUUAUGUACCAUUCUAAUAUGAUCUCAUGGGGGAAUUAUUUAGCCCAUAGCAACGCACGGGCACGAUCCUAGUGGAAUUGAAAAGAAUAGAGAUCGCGUAUGACAAGAGUACUCUAGGUAAUAUUUCUUCAAAUACCGAUUCAGCUCCCUCAUUUUCACUUCAAUAUUUUCACCAAUGGUAUAGAAAUAGAACUUGAUGAAUUCCACGUCUCAUCGAGCAAAACAUCUCGAAUUGCUAGCAACAUCUUCAAGAAAAGGUGGGCUGUAGGAUGCCUGUUUGCGGAGAAUGCUUUGGUUGCCUCACUUAAAGCAUCACGAAUGUCCUUUACUGCUUUGUUAUUCACACUAGCAUUGUCUAAUGUCAAGGUAAACAGCUGUUCAAUCAACUCCCACUUCAUCAACCACAACUUCUUGUCCUAGAUCCAUAUCACCUAGAUGACACAACUUCUUAGCCUUCGGCCUAGUAUCUUCCAAGUGAACAAAAGAGCCUGGAAUGUGAAUAAGAUCAACAAAUUUGAAUAAAAUACCAACUUGUUUUGGUUUUACUGACUGCUUGUAUUUUUAGUACUACAAUGAGUAGGUUUGAAGAAAAUAUGAUUCUGUAUAUGAUGCAGUUGUUUUGGCUCACAGCUAACUGUAUUUUGUUCCCAUGAUAAAAAAAUUCUGAUCAGAAAUCUUGUUUUUUCACUUCAGAUUAGAAGUAAUGUAAGAUGUCAGAUUAAUGGACGAUGAGGAGCAUAAGUUUUAGGCUUCGAGGACACAGUGCCCCUCCAAUUGCAUACUGAUACUGCUAAAACGAAAGGGGACUGAGGUGACUGGGAUAUCAUCAGUAUCAGAUAUACUAGCAGCUAUGUUCAUGAGCUUCUAUGUGGUGAAACAAGCUGGAGAUGACUAAGGUAUAGGAGCUUUUUUUCACAGAACAGUAGGACCAUUUUCACGAGAUUCAACUGCCUGAUCUUAACUGAAUGGUAAACAUAAGCAAUACCAGUAUGCAACCAACAAAAGAUCUUGCACUCCCAUCUUACAUUCUCUAAAACAGUAACAAUUCUAAGUUCACAGAUCUAGUGGUACUAAAAAGCUCAAUGAACGAAUUUAAUUUGCCAAUGCCAUCCUCCUGCUCUACAAAACCCAAAAACUCAAGCAGAUUGAAGCUGCAAAGGAGAGUUUAAAAAUAGCCAACACUAGCAGAAUACUGCACGAACUAGGCACAGCGCAGUAUAAACAAAAAGACAAAUAGGAAAGGCAAACACAUCAGAUGAAAAUCACCUGCACGCCGACGCCACCUGCGUCCGCUGCUGAGGCCGCCUGCUCUUGCUGGCCGCCGCGCGUCGGCCUAGCCGCACGCCCUGCCGGAGCCCGCCGGGGGCCGGCCCCACGGGAGCGCCUCGCACCCCCGCACCGCCCGGAUCUUGAGUUCUUGCGCCGCCGCCGCCGCCGCACGAGCCUGGAGAGGCCGCGAAAAAGAGGAGAGCCCCUUUCCUGCGAUCCACGGGCUCAGCCCUUCCAAUUGACUCAAGGAUCGAUUAUGGGCCACGUUCACAGGUCAGCCCUUUUAUGGAGAUGGCCCGAUCUGAUCCUGCCCAUUCUUCGGGAAGGCCUUUUAAGGCUCGGCCUAUAUGAGCUUGUAAGGCCCGAUCGGUUUGGCCCUUGGAUUUUCCAGGCUUAAGUAUAGGUAUAAGGUUUUCUACGUAUCUAAAAUAUUUUCCACUAGAAAAGGUUUUCUACGUAUGUAAAAUAUUUCCACUUGACUACCCGAUAAGGCAAUCAUUCGUGUGGCACAUGCCCGGGGCCUACUCGGAAAGUGAGUGCGCAUCCUCUCACAUGAUUGGACACAUCCACUUGACUCCUCAAAGGUCGUCAAUGCUUGCAGCUUGCAUUUUCCACAGAAGCAGCAGCUCUUGAACCCACUGUCCAGCAUCUCCCUCUCCACCCACCAACACUGUGUUUCCCUGUCUACUGCGCGUGUGUUUUGGAGCUCCCGGCGUAGCCAUGGCUGAGGUACUGGCCACCAUGGUGGUCGGGCCACUGGUGUCCAUGGUGAAGGAGAAGGCCUCCAGCUACCUCCUGGACCAGUACCAGGUGAUGGAGGGCAUGGAGGAGCAGCACAAGCUCCUGAAGCGCAAGCUGCCGGCCAUCCUCGAUGUCAUCGCCGAUGCCGAGCAGCAGGCGGCGAAACACAGAGAAGGGGCCAAAGCUUGGCUGGAGGAGGUCCGGACGGUGGCCUACAAGGCGAAUGAUGUCCUCGACGAGUUCAAGUACGAGGCGCUUCGCCGCAAAGCCAAGGUGGAGGGCCACUACAAGGCGCUCGGCAUGGAUGUAAUAAAGCUCUUCCCUUCUCACAACCGUGUUGUGUUCCGUUAUAAGAUGGCAAAAAGGCUCUGCAUGAUCUUGCAAGAAAUUGAUGUCCUCAUCGCAGAGAUGAAUGCGUUCAGGUUCAAAUUCAAACCGCAGCCGCAAAUGCCCAUGCAAUGGAGGCAGACGGAUGCUUGCAUCCCCACUGAGUCUGUGGAGAUUGCCAGCAAAUCAAGAGCUCAAGAGACGAAGGUUCUUGUUGAUCGAUUGCUUGCUGGAGCCAGCAGUAAGGAUCUCAUGGUCCUUCCGAUAGUCGGAAUGGGGGGGUUGGGCAAGACCACCUUAGCACAGCUCGUUUACAAUGACCCUGAAAUUCAGAAGCAUUUCGAGUUGCGGCUCUGGGUGUGUGUCUCUGAGGAUUUUGAUGUGGAUUCCCUGGCUAACAGAAUAGUGAAAGAGAAUGGUUGUAAAGCAAGUGAAAGUUCAUCAGCACUGGACAAUCUUCAAAAGGCAGUGAGUGGGAAGAGGUACCUCCUCGUAUUGGAUGAUGUGUGGAACCGUGAUGAGCCCAGCAAGUGGGAAAGGCUCAAGUCCUACCUUCAGCAUGGUGGCAGCGGUAGCUCAGUGCUGACAACAACUCGCGAUGAAGCUGUUGCUAAACUAAUGAUGGGUACAACUGAAAGAGCCUAUAAACUUGGAAGCUUGGAUGAAGAGUCCAUAGGGAAAAUUAUCAAGGCAAGAGCAUUCGGUUCAAAACAAGAAAAGGAAUGGCCUGGUGAGCUAGUUCACAUGGUUGGUGAAGUUGCCAAGAGAUGUGCUGGUUCUCCUUUAGCUGCUACAGCAUUGGGCUCUUUACUGAGUACCAAGACCAGCAAGCAAGAAUGGAAGGAUGUACUAAAUGGAAGCACGAUUUGUGAUGAGGAAAAUGGGAUUUUACCAGUACUUAAACUAAGUUACAAUUGCUUGCCAUCAUACAUGCGGCAAUGCUUUGCUUUCUGUGCUAUGUUUCCCAAGGAUUAUGAGAUUGACGUGCAAAUGCUAAUCCACUUGUGGAUGACCAAUGGUUUUAUCCCAGAGCAAUCAAAAGUGUGUCCUGAAACUUUUGGAAAAGGAAUUUUCAUUGAGCUGAAGUCAAGGUCAUUUUUUCAGGAUUUGAAGAAUGUCCCAUUUUACGAAAAUGGAUAUUCUAUUCAUGGAGAGGGUGAUGAGCACAGGUAUUGUUCUAGAAUUACUUGUAAGAUCCAUGACCUUAUGCAUGAUGUUGCACAGUCUGCUAUGGGAGAAGAAUGUGCUGCAAUAGCUACACACCCAAGUGAAAGAGAGGAUGUUCUUCGUUCAGCUCGUCACUUGUAUUUGUCAAUCCGUCGAUCAGAAACUCUUCUGAGUGCUUCCCAAGAGAAAGGAUCUCCAGCUUUCCAAACACUGAUUUGUGACGGAUAUGUAGGAGAUUUGAAGAUUUUAUCAAAAUACAAUUCUAUAAGAGCUUUAAAGAUCCGUUGUGGUUCAAUCCUAAGGCCGAAAUAUCUUCAUCACCUGAGGUAUCUUGAUCUCUCGAGAAGUGAUAUUGAAGCACUUCCUGAAGACAUUAGCAUCCUAUAUCAUCUGCAAACACUGAACCUUUCUUACUGUGACUGGCUUGAACGGCUUCCAAAGCAACUGAAGUAUUUGACUGGCCUCCGUCACCUCUACACUCACGGAUGUGAAAAGUUGAAAAGCAUGCCUGCAGAGCUCGGACGCCUGACUUCCCUACAGGCGCUUACAUACUUUGUAGCAGGUACCGAUGACUCCGGUUGCAGUAAUUUGGGAGAGCUGCAGAAUUUGGACCUUGGUGGUACACUGGAGCUAGGAAAUCUAAAAAAUGUGACAGGAGCAGAUGCACAAGCAGCAGGUCUUGGAAACAAGAAAAAACUGACCCAACUGGAGUUAUGUUGGACUGAUAGUGACCAGGAAGCACAGAAUAAUAAUCAUAAAGAGGUGGUGGAAGGUCUCAAACCUCAUGAUGGGUUAAAGGCUCUGAGGAUAAAUCACUACGGGAGCACAACUUUUCCAACGUGGAUGAAUACUUUGAAAGGCAUGGUGGAGCUCACAUUAUUCCGUUGCAAAAAGCUCGAAGAGCUUCCUGCACUCUGGGAGCUAUCAGCUCUGCAAAUUCUUCACCUGAAGGGUUUGGAGAGUUUACAUUGUUUGUGCAGCGGUGGUACUACACCCAUCACAUUUCCAAAACUGAAUGUACUUAUCUUGUUAGAAAUGGCAAAAUUUGAGGCAUGGCGGGAGGCACAUGAGGUACAAGGAGAAGAGCCGAUAUUUCCCAAGGUUGAGGAGCUGGUGAUUAAGGAGUGUACAAGUUUGACUGCAUUACCAAAAGCAGCGUCGGUGAUUACAGAAUUGUCUGGCAGAGUUGACACUAAGUGCCGCUCUGCAUUUCCAGCAUUGAGGAAAAUGAAGCUAUAUAAGUUGACUGUGUUUGAAAGAUGGGAGGCAGGCGAAGGAAUUUCAGGCGAAGAGGUAACCUUUCCUCAGCUUGAGGAGCUGUCAAUCGAGUAUUGUGGCAGCCUGAGUGCACUACCAAAAGGGCCAUUUGGCGGAGCUGAAACUGUGUGUUGCUGCUCCGCAUUUCCAGCACUGAGGAAACUAGAGUUAUCUGGUUUGUUGGCCCUUGAGAGGUGGGGGGCAGCCGAAGGAACUCCAGGAGAAGAGGUAACAUUUCCUCUGCUGGAGAACUUGAGUAUCCAUGAUUGCCCGAGGUUGACUGAUCUACCUGAAGCACCGAAGCUAAGUGAAUUAUCCAUAAGUAAAGGACAUGGUCAACAACAAAUAUCCCUAGAGGCAGCUAGCAGAUGCAUCCCUUCAUUGUCCCGUCUGACUCUGACCGUGUCACCCGAUGACACAGAAACAACAUUGCUGCAUGUCAAGAAUAAAUUGAAUGGUACACUCGCCUUGGCAGCUAUGCGGUUAGGUCGGUGCGACAUUUUUUUCUCCUCCAGCUCAAGCGCACUGGCGCUAUGGACAUGUUUUGCACAGUUAGUAGAUUUGGAUAUUUGGGAUUGCGAUGCUCUUGUCUACUGGCCAGAAAACGUGUUCCAGGUCCUGGUAUGCCUGAGGAAGUUAGCGAUUUCCAGAUGCAGCAAACUGACAGGACGCACACAAGCUUCUGAUGAGCAAUCUGCUCCAGCUCCAGAACGUGGUGGACUCCUGCCAUGCCUGGAGUCUCUAGGGAUAGUAGAUUGUGAAUCUUUGGUAGAGGUCCCCAUCCCGGCAUCUCUCAAGAAAUUACGUAUUUGGGGCUGCAGUAGUAAUGUCGGGUCCAUCGUAUUUGGUCACCCGGAGGAUACGAGAUUGGUGAGUGGAGAAGGUGUUGUACGGCCGAAUACGUCAUCAUUAAUUCCAGGGUCCAGCAGCAGUGAGGCCACAGCGUCUACAGCUGUACUGAAGCUGUCAUCUGCAGCCAACCAUCGCUUCCUUCCAUUUCAAUGCCUAGAAUUUCUAGGUAUAGCGUGUUGCAGUGGCUUGUCAGAGGUUGCCAAUCUUCCUCCGUCUAUCAAGACCUUGCGCAUUUGUGGCUGCGGCAAGUUUCAAUCCCUAUCAGGAGACCUCCGGUUGCUGGAAGAACUCAAGCUUUAUCAUUGCGAAAGACUGGUAUCCUUACCGGAUGGGCCUCAAGCAUACUCAUCUCUUAGAGUUCUUCGGAUUGAAAAUUGUGAUGGUAUAAAGUUGCUUCCGCCAAGCCUACAGAGCCGUUUGGGCUACCUCGAGGAGAAAGAUCUAGAUGCCCGUUACGAAGGUAAUCUCCAGUUUCUUUGUUUCUUUUAACAAAAUGAUCAAGAGCUCAAUUGUUGUUACCUAAAAUGCAACUCUGUGCUUAAACAUUCUGUUAGCUAUUACAAGAUGUGGUAGGAUUUAGUGGUAAGAAGUUUAUGAGUAUUACUCUGUGUUAAACAUUCUGUUAGCUAUCUAGCCAAGCCGUUCAUGAUGUAUACAUUAUAUUGACUAUUGAGUACAAUGCACCACUAAUAUUUAUGUGCAUGUGUGUCAUCGAAAUACAUUAACUUCGUGUAUUAUUGCCAUUCGGGGUAUCUAAACACGUACAACCAGAUCAAGAACCGCAGUCAUCCUUGUAUUUAUAGCUAUAAGAUGAUCUUUGUUGUUCACUUUUGAUACCUUGGUUGUAAACUUGUAAUUGCUAACUCGAAUCAUGUAAUAAAAUCAAUCAUCUUCCUUUAGUUGUAUUUAAAGCAGCAUGGCAUCAUGGAAUUAUUGCAGCCGAAUUCACUAGCUCCAAUUAAAGUGGCACUUGUCCUAGCGUUUCUCUGCAAAUUCACUAGCUCCAUUGCAUACAGUUCAAGUAUGUGUAGUUUUCUUUUCAUGGCUUAUGCCUUUUGACAUAAAUAAUAAUUUUCCUUUCCUUUGAAACAUUUACUAUUGGGUACCACAGCAUAUUCUCCUGUGUAUAUAUAUACUUUCUAACUUUGUGUUGAUUUGCAUGCAUAAAUUCUAACAUCAUCUGUGAUCAUGGCUAUAAGAUGAUCUUUGUUGUUCACUUUUGAUACCUUGGUUGUAAACUUGUAAUUGCUAACUCGAAUCAUGUAAUAAAAUCAAUCAUCUUCCUUUAGUUGUAUUUAAAGCAGCAUGGCAUCAUGGAAUUAUUGCAGCCGAAUUCACUAGCUUCAAUUAAAGUGGCACUUGUCCUAGCGUUCCUCUGGAAAUUCAUGAUCACUAGCUCCGUUGUAUGCAGUUCAAGUAUGUGUAGUUUUCUUUUCAUGGCUUAUGCCUUUUGACAUAAAUAAUAAUUUUCCUUUGAAACAUUUACUAUUGGGUGCCACAGCAUAUUCUCCUGUGUAUAUAUAUACUUUCUAACUUUGUGUUGAUUUGCAUGCAUAAAUUCUAACAUCAUGGCCUGAUUGCCAGAAUUGCCAGAACCAACCUGGAAACGUUCAAUCAGGAAGCUGGUGUGCUCGAAAUAGUAGAUCAAGGCCUGACCAAAGAAAAUUAUCUCCAAGGUAUUUUUGCAAAGAUAUCACCAAGGUUUGUAAUAUUAGUGUUCUUGAUGAUUGAUUGGAAAUGAUGCUAGCUCCUAAUGCUGACUUCCUAUGCGCUGUGACUUCCUUGUAGGAUGGUGCCAGACCUGCAAAAGAUGGAUUAUUGUGACUCUUGUUUAGAAUGUAUCAUAUGGGCAUUCUGAAGAUAUUCUCCAGUAAAGUCAAGGCAAAGUUCUAGAUUUUGAGCAGAAAACAAGUCCUAGAUUGCAAGCUGAAGAAUUUAGCACACAGAGCUGCGUGCUCCAGUCUUUUAUCCUUCUUCAAACCGAAGACCUUUAUUUUGAGCAGAAACGAAGUCCCAGACUGCAAGCAGAAGAAUUUAGCAUACAGAGCUGCGGGCUCCAGUCUUUUAUCCUUUUUUUUUUCUUUUGAGCCAUGACUUGUUUGCAUUCGUGUCUGCUUCAGCCUCCAGCACAAGCGAAACACAGGCAGCACUUUCAUUUUAUGAUUUGUCUAUCCACAUACAUGACCGACUGCCAUAGAGUAGACCAACAGUCCAACGUACUCAUGUUGUUGCUCGACAAGCUGUCCAAGCUGCUGCUUGAUAUGAACUGAAAGUGCUGAACUUUGUCCAUGUUAUGUUGGUAGUAUAUCUAAUACUGAACUUCAGAGUAGAACAACAGUCCAACGUGCUCAUGUUGUUGCUCGACAAGCAGUCCAAGCUGCUGCUUGAUAUGAACUGAAAGUGCUGAAUUUUCUCCCGUGUAUGUUCUGUGUUACUGUGUAUCAAAUACUGAAUGGUGUGCAGGGUGAUCCUGCAUCCUGGAAUGGCACGGUCUUGUGCAGAGGUCUCAUUGUUGUUGACCUGUUUCUUCAAAACUGCAUGUGCAGCAACAUUUUCUCCUGGCAGUGCUGCAAUGGAAUUGAAAAGAAUGGUGAUUGUUAUAGUAUAAUUGUCAUAUAUAGGCUGGGACACAAAACAAUGGAUGUACAUGAGCAAGGAAGAAGCUCUGGAUGCAGGGGAUGGAACAGAACAGAGACACGGACUCUGUCAACAGCGAUGCUCCCCAAGCGAGCAGAGGCAGAGCAGCGAAGCCCGCCUCGCAAUCUCCGCUACCCCCAUCGAAGUUGCCACACGCCACCGCAUCUCCCUCCACUCCGCUCCCACUCCCCCGCCACCGCCAUGGCCGCCGCCGCCGCAGCGCCCUCCCUCCUGCACCCACCGGCGGCCCGCAAGGCCCCCACACCUUCUCCCUCUCCUUACCCUUCCCCAUUCCUCCGCCUCCCGGCCCCCGCGCACCCGCGCCUCCCGCUCCGCCUCCGCUCCACCUCCCCGGCCGCCGCCUCCGACCUCACCGACUUCCCCAACCCGAACGGCAUCCUCGCGCCCAUCGACGUGGACGCCGCCACGGAGGCGGAGCUUCGCGAGAACGGGUUCCGGAGCACGCGCCGCACCAAGCUCGUCUGCACCGUGGGCCCGGUCACCUCGUCGCCCGAGCAGCUCGAGGCGCUCGCCGUCGGCGGGAUGAACGUCGCCCGCCUAAACAUGUGCCACGGGGACCGGGAGUGGCACCGGGGCGCCAUCCGGGCAGUCAGGAGGCUAAACGAGGAGAAGGGCUACGCCGUCGCCGUCAUGAUGGACACCGAGGGCAGCGAGAUCCACAUGGGGGACCUCGGCGGCGCCUCAUCGGCCAAGGCGGAGGUGAGGUGCUGUGCUUGUAUGUAAGCUGCUGUCCAGUUUUGGACUUGGCGUUGCAGUUUUCAGUUUUCAGAUUGAACGUAUUCCGUGAAAUGUGCUUGUGCAAUGUGGCAAUGUGGAUGAGAGGGGUGGUGGCAGUGGCAGUGUCAGGCAUUGCCGUUUCAUACUUCUGCAAAACCUAGCGAGUCAGGAUUUCACCAAAAUGUUUUUUUUCCAUCUUCGAAAUGGCUCAGUUGAUUUAGAUUUUCAGCUCAUGUUUGAAAUUGUUAUAGAAGGAAAAACAUUCAGAAUUUCAGAUUGUCAUCAAACACUGGAUUGUGAAAGUGGUAAUCAUUUUCAAGGCUUUCAAUCUUUCAAAAAAAUUUCAAGGCUUUCAGUAUCAGUGCAACUCAAAUAAAGUGCAUGGUAAACAUCACCAUGUUUUGGCUUUCUCUGCAUAUAAGACACGGUGCUGGAGUGGUUCGACGGCGCUGAGGUCCCAAUCCAACCAGUCAGGUUUUUUCAAGGUGUCGAGUUUGAGUGCUUACCUGCGUUGGCCCCAUUCCAACCGGGCGAGUCUUUAUUUAUUUUUCGUUUCUUUUCUUUUUUUGCCUAUGGCCUCCCAGGACCGUAGUCUUGUAUUUUCUAUUAUAUCAAUAGAAACUCGCACUAUCUUGUGCGGUUCGUUCAAAAAAAAGUGAUAGGCAUUGAGCUUCUGAAGGUCGUUGUCUAGAUAUUAGGCCCAAGCCUCAAUGGCUUUUUUUUCCCUGUUGCAAACCUUCCUGUAAGUAAAGGGCACACCAGUGCGAAAGCUCCCACACAAGGUGGGGUCUGGGGAAGGGAAUUCCUAGAUAGCCUUACCCUUGCAAAAUUCUUUUAAAUUUUUGCAAAGAGGUUGGUUCGAACCCAGGACCUCCGGGCCACAAGUGGAGAGUUUUACCACUGUGCCAGGUCCGCCCUUCUAGCAGAAUCUCUUAUGCUAGGUUUAAUUUGAAUUAGCUUUAUUAGUAGAAUGCUUGGCCCAUUUAUUGGUAAAUGGUAAAAUUCAUAAAGAUUAUCCUCAUUCCCUUAAUCAAUUUUAGGUGUUUAACUUGCAGCAAAUUCGAACAAUGACAGACAUGCAGCAUAUUGUUAGUUCAUCUGUAAGACUUGGCUUGCUGGUUUAAUGCUUUGUUAAAGGUUUGAAGUUAAUGUGUCUACUGGUAGCUAUUGAAUCUCUUUAUAGUUUAUUUAUAUCUUUUUUCUUUAUUAGUAUAAAGCCAUGUAGAAGUUUUCAGAAUACUGAAAUUUCUAGUGUUCGUUUUGUGGAGUCUCUGCACCUACAUCCUUUUUUGCAACUGCAUUUCAGAUCCUUCAGUUAUAGCAUGAAUAAUUUUUUAAAAAAGAAAAUUCUAGGUAGAUUCUUGCCCGUAGUUAAUGGUAGUGUCCGAUGAUAGUUGUGUUUUAGAUAAUACAUUAAUAUUAGUAAUCCAAAGAAACUAAACUACUUCCAUGAUGCUAAAUGUCAUCAGUGCUAGCUAGGGUCACUAUACCAAAAAGGAGAUUCUAUCACCAUUCGGCUGUUUAUCUUAAGUUUUUAACCAUACAGUUAGAAGUUUGAUUGUACACCUAUUCAAUAAUCCAAGGUUUUCUUGAGCCACGUUAUUUACCCAAUGACUUCCAUUUUUCUUGGCAUUAAAACCUUUCUGAAGUAAUUAACAAAUCAUGUCACAUUUGUUGGAUUCCACAGGAUGGAGAAGUCUGGACAUUUAGUGUUAGGUCAUUUGAAUUGCCUCUCCCAGAACGAACUAUUAAUGUGAAUUAUGACGGGUUUGCUGAAGGUAUGUAAGCUGACCUAUUUGUUGAUAUCUUUUGCUGUUAUUGUUCACUGCCAUAAUUUUGUCCUACACAGAUGUGAGAGUUGGUGAUGAGCUUCUUGUGGAUGGUGGAAUGGCUCGGUUUGAGGUGAUUGAGAAGUUGGGACCAGAUGUUAAGUGUCGCUGCACAGAUCCUGGUUUAUUGUUGCCACGUGUGAAUCUUACAUUCUGGCGUGAUGGCAGUAUUGUCCGUGAGAGGAAUGCUAUGCUUCCUACAAUUUCAUCAAAGGUAAAUGCACUAGCAUAAUAAAUUUCUUGCUGUAAUUACCAAAAGACCGCAAAACUUUGUUAAUCUAUGCCACCCCUUGGUACUAGUAUUGCAAUGGAUUUACAGCUUGGUUUUUUUUGUCAAUGCCAUGGUCAGUUCAAAACAACAUGUAUUAGUUCAAAGCCUUACAUUGUGCACUGAAACUCAUCUCUUGAUAGUUUUUAUCAGCUAUUUCUUAAGAAGGCUUCUACCACCUAGAGUUGUUUAACUGAAAAUUUAAUCUUCUAGUAGCAGAUACUAAUAUUAUAAGUUUAUAAUAAUGCUGCUCCUACCCCCGACGCAGCUUGCCGGAGGCCCUUGACGCAGCGCUGCCAUCCGCAAGCCCUAACGCCGCCGACGCGCCCCUCUCCUCGGUUGAUUUGGGAAGGCGCGGGACUGAGGCAGGGAGAUUGGGAAGCAGAGCUUCCUGUUCCUCGUCUGCUACUCUGCUUCAAUUGGGCACCGGGAAAAGCGAUGCUGCCGGGUGCUCGGGUUCUUGGAGAGGGGAUGGAAUGGAAUGAUGGAUCGAUGCGGGAUGCGUUGCUGUUGCUAGCGGCUUCUGAUUGGAGAGAGGAGAGAAGCUGGUUGCUUGUGUUACCGUGAACGUGAAGGAAAACAGAGUAGGGAGGAGAGCAAGCUGCUGGUGCAGGAGCAUCAUGGCUACGGCAAUGGCAGCGGUGCGGUUCGUUCCGUCAAAUCCCAGAUUUCGGCCACAUUUGAUUGAUGCGAUUUAAUUUGAUUCCUUAUUGGUCGCCAGCCACGCAUUCGAUUCAUGGACGCGCAGGCCCCGGUGGUGAUGCAAGCCACGGUGGUUCCUGCAUGACAAUAGGUUCUUGUUACAAGACAGUCAUCAGUCAUAUUGUGAAGAACUGAUGGCAGUUUUGAACACAAAUAUAGGAUUUCAUCACGAUACACUAGAGGUUUACAAUCAUCAACUACUGCAGGGGAAAAAAAUGGAGCUAGUAUUUUUGAAAAAUGGCCCGAUGUUGAAUCUGUGAUAAUGCAACUUAUGUAGCAGAGCAACCAUGGUAACACAAAAAUGUGCCAAGAGACUGACCUGAUCUUCUUCAGCCUCUCUCCAGGUCAUCCCCGAGCUUCAUGUCAAGAGCGUUGGAAACAACCUGGGAGAACCUACAUCCUUGUAAUCCUUCUUCAUGAUGAGGAAUCAGUCAGGGACCAUGAACUGGCGAGGGUUAGGAACCACAUUCUUGAGGCGCUCAAGCUCAUCUGGGGACACCUCACGAGCUCUGCACAAAAAUAUUAUCAUCAGAGCUAAACUUCAUGCAAUGGGGCAUUCUAGCUGUAGCAUACAACAACCUACUGGCCCAGUUUGUUAUUGCGGCACAUGGAAAAUUAGUGGGAAAGUGGUGCGAUGCACCCAUCUCAAAUCUCCAACUUCAAAAAACAUGAAUGCCAAAGACUUCUGCAUAGGCUGUCUUUAGAUGGCAGAUGUUUUUUAAAACACGUUUUCCAAUGGGCUUCACUCUCAAGUAGAUUCAGAAAAGCUAAUUGAUGAUCGGCACCAAGCCACAGAUGACUGCCACUAAUGAACAGUCAGUAGAUAAUUUCUGCAUUGUUGCCUAGAUUUCACCUGAGGAAAACCAAACUGAUUGAACAUCUCGCCACAAUUUCUUAGAUUAACUGAGCCCAUCACCUACGGGAAUGGAAGGAAAAAAAACCGAAAACUGUUACCAACAUUACAAUUUGUCAAAUAAUCUUCAUAUUCGAAUUCCCUAUACAAAAAUACCGCUUUGCCAGACUGGACCAGAAAGCAAACCAAACCUAAAUUCAGUAUAUUUAUACAUGUUGAAUCAUCUCUUGGUCACGUUUUCUUCAUUGAAAAGAAGUAAUGAGAAGAAACAUUCUUCAAAAAUUACUGAUCAAAACCAUAUUUUUAGUGUGCUACGAUUCUACAGCGACUUCAGUACAAUGGAAGCAUUGGUGCUACAACGAGCUUCUGAUAAAGUUAGGAGUGAUUUUAAUCCACUUUUCAACUUGGAAACCAAGUUGAAAACAAGUCUUCCUUUUUGUUAAUGUGUUGCCGUGAGAACAUAGAGUAUGAGCAGUUCAAACCGGUUACCUAAAUUAUGCUUGUGAUCCGUGCACUGUGAUGGUCAAACUUCUCCUUGUUAAAUGGCAAGCUGCUGUUGCCUUGGAUCCUAAGGUCGUGCUGUGAAUGGUAUUGUAACUGUUAAGGUAAAUCCUGUUCUCCAUUUGUGGCCAUGCAUGAGAAUUGAGAACUGGAGAUCAUUCUGAAUUUUUGCUCCUUACAGAUUGCUUUGUGUAUCCCUUGUGCGCCAAAUGGGACUGAAAUUCGUGGCGUGAUACGUCAUCGUGACCUUUUGAAUUUUAGUUGGCUUUGUUUUUGUUUUCGAGGAUUUAACUGUUGUGCCUCCGUCUUCCAUGUGGCGAAGAAAUUGACGCAGUGGGGUCGGGAUGGUGUUCAGCUGCUGUUUGCUGGUAGACUGUUUAUUUUGUUUGGGAGUAUAAAGGGGUGGAUCAUCCAUCAUAUCUAAGCAAUAUGAUUAGUGCAAAUCAUGAUGGUCAACGUCAGGUUUCGUUUUGGGCAACCAACCACAGGGUUUCUUUGAUGGUUUCGUAUUCAUUGUAAUCGCUGUCGUUGCUUGCUUCUUGCUGCCCACAUUCCUAUUCUCCCGUCGGCUCGACGGAGGAUUUUAUUUUAAGAAUGCAGAGAAAGAAACAUGCCUCCGUUUUCCAAGCAAAGCAUAUAUUCUUUCUGGAAGGUCAACGACAAGGCCCCGGCCGUUCCAAGCUUCUCGCUGGCCUAGCCGUCGCGUCCAUUCAAGCUCAGAGGCGACUGCCGUUCCGAGCUCUCCAAGGGCCCGCGCGAUGGGAAGCGGCGCGGUUCUUGACGGUGGUGUUGUUCCUCGCCGCGGGGGUCCUCUUCGCGCCCGAAUCGCUGGCGCCUCGGCGGCCACCGCAUGGGGCACCGGCCUCUGGGUCGCAUUCAUCGGCGGCACCAUCCUGUUCAGGUAAGCAAGCGCCGCCGCUGCCGCUUCGUCCGCCCCAAGAUCAGAUGGUUGGAAACAAGCGAGAGAUGGAUUCUGUCAUGUUUACUAAUAUACCAUUAUACCCAAGCCUAAAUGUGAUAUGCUGCUGCUGUCAUAGCAUUCACAUUCAAAUCCAAUUUCGUGCGCAGCAAUGCACGGCGCCCAUCCUAGGAAGAACUCUGAGGAAAAUGACAAGCCUCAUGAAUCUGUCCUUGGAAUCAUGCGAGUUUUAGUAAAUCAUUGGAAUCCACUGGAUCAUCAUCUUAAUCUGGCAACCAUUGGUCCGGAAAAAUCAUUCUAGUAAAUAUUCACCUUGACGAUCUGUUGGAAGGACAAGGACCACAAAAAUUAUGAAUUGGGAUUUAUGUGCUGUAUUGAGAGAGCCCGUAGGUGCUGGAUUUCUCUGGAAACGUUCUGAAAGUUCUGGUAGUGGUAGCACUGCUACAAUUUUACAAGCAUGUGGGGUUGUUCCUCUGUUUGUUGAUUAGGUAUUAUGUUUUGCAGUCUUAAAGUUCAGAAGGUAAUUACCCAGGUGUGCAAGUAUACCUUCAAGUUUUUUUUUAACAUAGUGUACAUAUUACCUUGUUAUAGUGAGAACAGAGAAGUCCACCGCAAAAGUAUAGCCUAGCAUAUAUUGUUCUUGCAAUAGACCAUGUGUGGAUAUGCCCCUUUGCAGGUCGAUUAUUCCAUUCAGAACAUAGCAUGGACCUCUAUAGUGUUUUGGAUAGAUUUUUUUUUAUUAUAAAGGUACUUGCCGAGGCACCAAUUUGGGAGUCUGCGGGGUAAAAUGUUCCCGGCGUAGUUCAUAUUGACAUCAGUGUGUUCAGCGAUAUCUGUGGCAGCAUUCGUAUACCUGCACCCCUGGAAGACAGCAUCAACCAUCGAGCGUUACCAGCAUGGAUUCCUUCUUUCGGCCCUUAUCUGUAACCUUUCAAACCUUCUGGUCAUCACACCCGAUCCUUACCUGCGCUGCCGCCGCACCGCCACCUCUCCCUCCCUGCGUCGCCGCCGCGCCGCCACCACUCCCUCCCUGCGUCACCGCCGGGACCCCGACGACCCCUCCCACCACUCCCUGCAACUGAAGAGGUAAUCCGACAGCGCCCCCUCCGGGCGCCGCCACGCCGACCCGCCUCCGGGUGCCCAAUUGAUACGCCCGGACCGCUCCUCCUCCGUCCGCUGCCCAACCGUGCCUCCUCCGGGCGCCCAACGCCGGCGCACCCCCUGUCCGGUUGCCCCUCCGCGCCAGCGCCCCCCUUCCCGGCCUUCUCUCCACCCCUCCCCCGGCCUCCCCUCCACGCCGGCGCGCUGGUAGACGGACGCCUCUGGCUACUUCUGUGCCGGCCGCGCCGCCGCCAAGCUCGCCCCUACGAAAACGGUAACCUCUUCCGCCCAUCUGCACAUCUCCAUGACAAUCCGUUUUUAUGCAUCCUUAUUGAGGCGGAUCUGGUGGUUCGAUUGCAUAGAGGAGGAUAAUGAUUAGUGGAUUUGCUUGAUUGGCAACAUAGUCCAUCAUUUAUUCUCCUGUUCUCCAUUAUCAGUAUUGUGAAAUUGCUUGACAGAUGGCUGGUCACUUGUUUUUUUUUAGUGAUUCCAAUGGUAAUCAUAUCAUACCAGACCUAGAUAGAAUAUAAUAUGAGAUGAUGUUGCAGACUGAGUCAUCUGAUUCUUGCAGUCUAAUUCUAGGAGUUUUAGGCAGUGGCAUGUGAAUAUUAUCAAUACUUCUGCUUCAGUUAACAUAUGCAACUUAUGGGCACUCACAUAGCAGGUUAUUUUUCUGUUGUUUUAACUAACAUGGCAUGACGUGAUGUUUUUGACUGUUUAACUAAUAGAAUCUUUAAGCUUUGAUUGGUACACUCAAACUUCAUUAUUGAGAUUGGUCGACUGUCAGUAUUGUGAAAUUGCUCAACAGAUGGGAUAUUGCUUGCAUUAAAAGAUUAGCUUCAGGAUAUUGCUUCGAUUGUAGAGGAUGAUAAAAGUAUUGAUUUUUCUUUCCUUGUUUUUUAGUCAUUCGUGCUUACUCUCUAGCAAUGGUUAAUUACAACACUGCAGGACUACUAGCUAGCGUAUUUAUCUAGGUUCUGAUAUAAAGCAUAUAACAUUGGAUCUGGGAUAAUAUGUUGGCUAUUUUGUGGCUGGCCCGGAAGCCCAGUGGUUGCUUUGCUUUGCUACCUGCUUUUGCAACUCUCUUCUUUUCUGAGCUCAUUCUUACACUUUAGCCUGCAGUCGAGUAUGUGUGUUAGCUAUUGAGCUGUUUUGCUUUGCUUAAUCAAAUGCUAUAUUACACCAUGUUUUCAAAUUUGUUCCCAUAGUUAUUUAGCUUAACCUCUAUCUCUGAAAUCAGGUACUUGAUAGGAUGAACUGUAGGGGUCUGAGGUCUUUUUUUAAUGAAGCAACAGGGGAGGACCCUACUGACAAAUUUCAGAGGAUAUAUAUCUGUACAGGUUGCAUGGCCAUGUAGUUCCAAAAGAAAAAAAAGGAGGAGAUUUAGAUCCCUCUCCACGAAAUAUUUUCAUGGUUGUCCAUAAAUAUUUGUUUUCUGUGCAUUAAGCUUUUCUGUUGUGCUAAUCUGAUUCAAGGAACCCAGAAUUGCAACUAUCUUAAAUUUUCUUUUUAUAUUCCAUUUUAUAUCAAUUCCAGGUACAUGCAUGAUUGGUAUGGCCAGGUUGAAUGCAAAUAUGUGGCAACACUGAAGUAGAACAAUCAUUAUGAAGCAUGUCAAGUAAGCAUGUUCUAACUUUUGGAAUGUAGCUUCAUGAAUUUGAUUCUUUGAUAUACUAUACAAGGUUGUAUUUGUUUGAUCUGUCACUUAAUUUGACAUUGGAGUUGUCCGGCCAACAAAUCCACAUGUGCCUCCGCCACAUGGACGCCCCCAAGGCCCGUACGUGAUCCCCAGGUCCCUUCCCUUCUGUUUGGUUGCAAACACUGACAGAGAACCAUUUGCAACUGAGCUCAUGACUAACUUAAUGUACCGUUGCUGCUUGCAGGUCACAGCUCAGAUGAGGCAAAGCGGAUAGCUUGAUUACUGGAUGCAGGAUUAGCAUCCACCAUGAGCCUGUGCACCUGGUCCAUCGUAAUUCUUUGAAUUUACUCUAUUGAAUGCAGGGUGUUCCUGAAAUUGCAAGAAUUAUGGCACCAGAUUGGUCGUCGAUGGACAGAAGGCAAUGCUGUGCUGCCAAUUAAGUUGCCUGGUGAUGUUUCUAACAUGCAUUCUGUACUAUCUGACAUUUUAGAUUUCAGGCUGCUAUCGUAUCUGGUUUGUGACUGUAUUUUCUACCAAUCAAGUUGCCAUCAAACUUAAAUAUUGAAGCCUCUGGUGGAUAUGAUGAUGAAUUGACUGUAGACUGUUGGCCCUUGGGCAUUGCAAAGAGAAGGAAAUAUCUGUUAAGAUAGCCAAAACCAUCAAGUUAGUCCAGAUCAUGCGCUACAAAAUUUCACUUCUUUUAUGAACUGCUGUAGUGUGUAAUAUAAAUAAUGCCAUCAAGUUAAUAUGUAUGUGCAAAAAAUCCCCUGACAGGAAAUUAUUAGGAAUUUAUAUUAGAAACAGGAAACAUGAAUGCUGAAGCAUGUUAGAACUGACAAAACACAAUCAGACAUAGGCAGGUUCUUGGGACUGCAUGAAGAGAGACUCAGAUUCCUAAGGAUUGUUCAAGUGCAUUCGAUGUGAUUUGCCGACGAAUGGAACAGAGGAUGGCCUAUGGCCAGAAUGAGCAGGUGAGGCUCCAUACUAUCUUACCGUAUGUCUUCCUCAUGUCUCAUGUGUUGCAUUGCAUGUAACUGUUAAAGUAUCUGUGCUACAGAUCUCACUUUAUUAAAUCAUGUGAGAUUAAACUUACAUUUAUAUUGUCAUUAAUAGAAAUCAACAGAAAAGAGGUACUGAUUGGAUUACUAAUUCAUUAUUUGUAGUUGCCUUAGUCAAGAAUAUAAAUUUGUCAGGGACAACUCAAAUACAGAAACACACUCAUGAUCCUUUGUAGUUUGCAGUAGAUUGCGAGUUUAAUGGUAAAUCUGGACUUGAACUUCUUUUCAGACUCUGUUCUACCACCGAAUUUCAUACUGCAUUACUUCAUGCUCGAAAAAUGGAUGAAAUCAAAUCGAUAGCCUUCCUCGGUUAACCAUUGCAGAGACACCGCUCUUGUAAUUCAGGACAUGGUACUGCUGCACGAAGUGGAGGUGGAAUACCCGGACGGUCGACCCAUCGAAAAGCACCAAGCGAUGCUACUGGAGUUCGGAAAGUUUGAAAAUGGCCAAUCCACCACUGCCAUGUCCCUCACCGUUGGUGUAGCAGCAGAAAUAGGGGCUCUGGUAGUAACCUUAACCACAGUUAUACUUGCAUGAGGAUAAAAGCAGAAACCCCAUGUAUAUUCAUUUACUCUUGCCCCAUGCCAUGUUGCAGCUCUUGCUCCAGAACAAGGUGCAGACGAAAGGAGUGAUUAGGCCUCUGGAACCUGAAAUCUACAUUCCAGGUGAGUGCAACGUGGACCAUGGUUUUCAUGCCUGUCCUUUGUGGAAUCACCGUGACAUGCAACAGUGCUGACUCGUGUGUUUGCGUGUGUGAAGCAUUGGAAAUCUUGGACUCGUCAGGCAUAAAGCUGACUGAGAGAGUGGAGAUUUGAAAAUUCGUGUGUACUCCCUCCGUCCCUGUCGUUUUCGCUUCCUGAGAAACAACUUUGACUAAAUAUAUAUAAAAAAUAUUAAUAUUUAUGAUACAAAAUUAAUACAAUUAGAUAGAUAUUUGAAUCUAGUUUUUUAAUAAAUUUAUUUGAAGAUACAAAUGGUGCACGUAUUUUCUACAAAUCCAGUCAAACUUGCGGCACGGAAACCAAAAGCGACAGUUAUUUAGGGACGGAGGGAGUAAGCAUUGGAGAUCUUGGAGUCGUCAGCCACCAAGCUGACUGAGAGAAUGUAGAUUUGAAAAUUCGAAGUUAAUAGUACAUAGAUAUACUAUAUGAUAAUAGCUGGGUACAUAUAUUCUGUACAUACUAUGUUCUGUCCUAAGAAAGGGUAGGAACUCCCAACAGUUUGUCGUCGUCGUUGUACAUAGAAUCUCAUAAUGUAUAACUUUCAAAGCUCUAAAAACAACAGGUCUUGUGUGCAACGAUGAUAGUCGGAUUAGUUAUACACCAUGUACUUUAGUGUGGCACUAAAUUAUGAAUAGGUUCUCUAUACUUAAAGCUUCUUAGACUAUGAUGUUCGUCAGCUCACUGGUGAUUGGAAAGGCGUCUUUAGAAAUUGCUACGCAAAACGAUUGGGAGUAUAGGGCAACCCUGCUUGCUUAUUCAAAUUGAUGUACCUAAGGGUGUAAAAUGUGAAGAUAUAUGGAAGUCUUGAUUGUGGAGAAAAAUUGUCAAUCAAAAUAGCAUCUUAUUUAUGAGGUGGGGCCUGAUUCGACUCAUGUCGAGCCCUCUCCUUUGCACCAACGAACAGAUCCAAUCGUUUAAAAUCAGGUCCAAGUUCACAUCUCUUUUGCCCUCCCACUCAGAGCACAAUCGGCCAGCGCGACGGGGAUGGCGACACAGCCACCGACGGCUGGAGCUCCCUCAAUGCUGCCAGCAGGUAAUUGACUAGCCUAUUACUAUUUGGAUGUGAUGCACAUUGGUCACGAAUUUGUAAAUCUAUCAGUUCCUGCUUCCUGCAUCCAUUUGUGCAGUUCUUGCGGUGGAUGCAGUGCACUGAGUAUAGAAAUUAUUUUUUAUUACUUCUGUGAAACGUUUUGGCCUUGGCAAGUAUGUACAGAUUUAGUUGUUGUUUUUUUAGUCAGAGGUGAGCUACGUGUAUGGGAAAGAAACACUUGAUUGCUUGUUCUAGAUCUUGCCUUCAUAUAAACUGUGAUGCUAUCAACAUGGAGAUUUGAUGCAUUCUACUCUCUCUCUAUUUCACAUGGAAAAGAACUCGUGUUUACUCAAUAAUGCUUAUGAAUUUUCCUUAGAGUUGCAUUUAUUCAUCAUCCUAAAGUAUUCCGUGUCAAGUAAACUCAUACUUCUAAUUUUUCAAAAAACAAUCUGAAAUCAAUGAACCCCUCCUUCCUUGUGAAAUUGUUGUACCUUUUUCCUUAUGACAUCUUAUCUACUUCCACUUUCCUGGUGCAGAAUUUUUGAAAGUAGGAAACGUAAGCAAUGACAGUGAGAGUCGCAGCAAUACUGAGCUCAAUAGGUGAACUAGACAAACCAUUCUGCUGUAGUUCAUUUUAUCACUGCAGUCAUCGUCGGACAAUGAGGUCAGAACCAGCAGGUUCGCAGAGUGACUUGUGACUUGUGGAUAAUCCUGCAGAUUCAACAAUGGUAAAGUAACGAAUGGUUAAGGUAUAAGUAGAUUUACUCAAUUAUACUCCAAUAGCUAAUGCAUUGCAUAUAUUGCUUGGCCGUGUAUAUAAAUAUUACAUCACUGUUCAACAUAAGUAAAUAGCUUGGUCCUUCAUAAUAAAGCAGUCCAUUUUGGUAAAAGCUAUAGUGCAAUUAGUUUUCUUGAUUUUCUUAAAAUUUUACUCAAAGUCUGUUCCUUAUGUUGUACAUUUGCCUCGCGGGCUGGCUAACUGACCUACAUGAGGCUGGCUAACUGAUCUGGAGGUUCACUAUCUAUGUUCUUUCAUUUCAUUGUCAAACAGAGAUAUUCUAAAUCUGAAAGUCUGUUGAAAUUGCCUAUGGAGUCUUGUGGUACCUUUAGUGUUUCUUAUCAUGUCCAGUAGGAGGUCUUGGAAAACAUAUUUGCCAUACAUGAUUUUUUUUAAAUCGAAAGUAGUAAUAUGCUGUGUAAUUGCCUUCUUGCCUCCUGACGUGUGGCAAAUUCAUUGAGCGUUUCCACUUACAUCGCUGGCAUAUUCAGAAAACAACGCAAAGAUGAUGGUUUUGGGUGAGAGGUCCUUUGGUCAAGGUAAUUUCAGAGCAUUGAUUUUCAAUGUACUUGUAAAGCCAAGAGAAAGUUGAGCAGGGCACAUUCAGUUGUUAACUGGACUGUUGGCUUGCUGCUAUGGAAACAUGUUUUCAGCCUUAUUACUUGCCGAGUUUACAUUGGGAUCUGAAAACUGGACAGCGUGCCAUUAGUUUUGUCUGUCUCCAGGACAUUGCCCAUGCACAUGAACUGACUGAUUACCAUGAAAAUUCACCUGUUUCAGUUCCAAACUAAUUAUUGCUUCAAGGUCACAAAGCUAUAUGAAAAUCUGUAUCCAAUUGAAUGCCAGAACUCUCUAGGAUGAUGUCAGGCAUUCCCAUUUAUAGGUUAACCUGAAGUGAUUCUUGAAGAUUAGUUUCUGUGUGGUUGAUUUGAACUGUUUGUCAUAUUGUAUGCUUCAUCUUGAUUACUAUCAAUUUCACAGGUCAUGUUCAUUGUGAGGAAUGGAGCGCAAUGCCUUGUGGUAACUCUGGGCAGACGAAAAUAGGCCACCUCUCCCAUUUUCUUGAUAUUUAUUUUCUGAUAUCUGACUAUUGUAUUUGUCGUGAAAUUUAAAUUGUAGACACUAACAGAUCAUGUGUCACUUCAUGCUUUGACCAUGUGAAAAAAAUUCAGUGUAUUUACCCAUGAUCGGUGCCUUGCCCCGAGUGGUCUUUAAUUCCUGAAUUAGGCAACGGUGAUUUUUCUUCUUAAUAUAUAGAUGCGCAGCUCUCCCGCGUGUUCGAGAAAAAUGAGGCAACGGUGACACAGCGCUCGUAGAAAGUAGAAAGUGAAGAAGCGGUUUGAGCAUAUUGCUGUUGACAGCUACCUCCGCAAGAUUUGGCCAGUAUCGUGAGCUGAGUUUCACAACCCUGAACCACUUGGUAAAAAACAGUCUGAAUUUUGCGUUGUGAGUAACUAACUAGACAUCCGAAUAAAUUAGUGUACUGAUAUUCUGAAAUUUGUUUUAGCACUGGGACUCUCUGGACUAUCCGGUGGAAUCAGGCCUUGGCAGGACUGAGGCAGAUGUGGGGGGUGACACCGUGCAGGUGAGGUGGUGGCGGUACCUGGCUCUGGCAUCUCCCUUUAUCCGCUUGAUGGAAUGGCAGCAUGGGUAUGGAGACACCAUCAGCAUCUAAACAAGGCCCAAAAGGUACAAAGAUAUGAUUUAAUCACUUUUGAUUUGUUUAUUUGCUAUCAUAUAAAUUGCAGGUCUUGAGUAAUAUGUCAAUGCUAUAAUUUUGCUUGCUUGUUGUGUGUCCUCUCUAAAAUCUUUUCUUUACCAUAUAUAUCCAUACGCACAAGAUAUUUGCAGUUACAAGUAUAAUCCUCAAGGAGUGAAAAGCUUGGGAUUCUGUUCGUGCAGGCAACAGGCAUUGAUUGCUAAUCAGCAUGGCCUCCACAAGUACCCAUCAUAGGAAGUGCAGCAACCAAUAUUGUGUUCAAACCUGAAGAAAAUAUAUGGGGAUGGCUGGGUGGCUGCACAGCUCAUGGCAGGGACCAAUUUGGAGUCUGCAUCUUCUUUCCCACAUAUAUAUGAUAUUUCCAUAUACUGUCAGGAUGCUAUUAAACUGCCUUCACCAGAUUACUAUAAACUGUGAACUUCGGAACUUUAAUUUUCGAUAAGUUGGAGUCGACGCUUAAAACUUCAGAGCUUUAUUUACUCCUAAGUACCAACAGCUCUAAAUUUUUGUGCACUGCACCCUUAGUUUUUAGUGAACAAUACUGACUGCUGAGGUUAUAAUGCAUCUUUCUAUGUGGGACUAAAGUUUUGUCAAGUAAGGCUAUGUACACAUUGAUAAAUCUGCUUCAGAAUAAUAUCGCUGAUACAUUGCAAUCUCACUAUCUGAACAAAAUCAGGUUUAUCAGUUAUUUAUAGUAGACUUGCUUGUUAGAAAGGACCUAAAUAGGUUUUCUUUGUCUAUGUGAAUUUUCGGGGAAUUCUGCUUAUCUUCCAUGGAUAGAUGCUACUUCUCCUGUAAUAUCGAAUUGGGUCAUGUGUGUGUCAGCUCUUUGCUAGCCAAAGGAGCUUGUGACUUGCAACUACUACUGCUUAUUCAAUGAUCUCUAAUAACUGAAUCAUUUUGUUCAGAUUCUAAUUACCAGGUCUUUUCUCAUCUCUUUAUGUUUUGAGGUGUUGGAUGAAAUAGGGUUAAUGGUGUUUGCUACCAUUCUACAAGAAAAUAGGGUUAAAAUAUUCUUGUAUUCCUCAGAUUAUUUGUGUCAUGCAAACUCCACUUUAGAAAAUUCCAUUCUAAAUGGUUGUGUGAGAUUAUGUACCAUUCUAAUAUGAUCUCAUGAGGGGAAUUAUUUAGCCUGUAGCAACGCACGGGCACGAUCCUAAUGGAAUUGAAAAGAAUAGAGAUCGCGAUGAACCACGAGAAUAUCUAGUGUUGGAACGCAAAGCGGAGGGCAAGUACCCAUACAAAAUCUAAUAACUCUGCAACAGCCAUCACUAGCAAGUUGUCAUACACUCAUUAUGGUCUUGGCCACGAGACAUGAGCAAGAGAUGCACAUCAUGAUCUAGGAAGCAGCAGCGCGCGGGUAUGGUCGCAUGGAACAGCCUCUUUGCCCGCGCCGGCCACCCCUUCCACUGCUGCUCAAAAGGUGCUCGACAAAAUGCCACUCCAGGACACUGCCCGCGCCGGCGCGCCUGGGCAGGAAAGAAAACAGGAAAAACUCUGAAAAGGGAGUAGUAAUGCACAGAAACUCACAUUGCUAUUCGAGUUGCCAUGAAACGUUGGGAUGGGUGUAAGUAACGGAUCAUAGAGACUGUCCAUUGUCAACUUGUCAUUAUUAAACAAAACUACUAUUAUUUUCCCUCCUGGCCUCGAGAUGCUAAUGGAUGGCCCAAAACUAAUGCAAGAUGCACAUGCUCUCACAUGGUUGAAGACACGCAGAUCAAGAUGCACAGAUCGAACACAUCUGGACGAACGUGGUUCUAUAUUGCUGUAGUGUAUGCAACCAAUUAAACACAUCCACUUGGCUCCUCCAAAGUCAACGCUCGAAGUCUCCAUUUUCCACAAAAGCAGCAGCUCAAACCAAGCGUCCAGCUUCUCUCUCUCCACCCAGCAACACUGUGUUUCCUGUGUCCUGUCACCUGUGCGUGUGUUUUUGGAUCUCCAGGCGUUGCCAUGGCUGAGGUACUGGCCACCAUGGUGGUCGGGCCACUGCUGUCCAUGGUGAAGGAAAAGGCCUCCAGCUACCUCCUGGACCAGUACAAGGUGAUGGAGGGGAUGGAGGAGCAGCACAAGCUCCUGAAGCGCAAGCUGCCGGCCGUCCUGGACGUCAUCGCCGACGCCGAGGAGCAGGCGGCAAAACACAGAGAAGGGGCGAAAGCUUGGCUGGAGGAGGUCCGGACGGUGGCCUACAAGGCGAAUGAUGUCCUCGACGAGUUCAAGUACGAGGCGCUUCGCCGCAAAGCCAAGGCGGAGGGCCACUACAAGGCGCUCGGCAUGGAUGUAAUAAAGCUCUUCCCUUCUCACAACCGUUUUGUGUUCCGUUAUAAGAUGGCAAACAGGCUCUGCAUGAUCUUGCAAGAAAUUGAUGUCCUCAUCGCAGAGAUGAAUGCAUUCAGGUUCAAAUUCAAACCGCAGCCGCAAAUGCUCAUGCAAUGGAGGCAGACGGAUGCUUGCAUCCCCACUGAGUCUGUGGACAUUGCCAGCAAAUCAAGAGCUCAAGAGACGAAGGAUCUUGUUCAUCAAUUGCUCGAGAGCAGUAAGGAUCGAUUGCUUGCUGGAGCCAGCAGUAAGGAUCUCAUGGUCCUUCCGAUAGUCGGAAUGGGGGGGUUGGGCAAGACCACCUUAGCACAGCUCGUUUACAAUGACACUGAAAUUAAGAAGCAUUUCGAGUUGCGGCUCUGGGUGUGUGUCUCUGAUGAUUUUGAUGUGGAUUCCCUGGCUAACAAAAUAGUGAAAGAGAAUGGUUGUGAAGCAAGUGGAAGUUCAUCAGCACUGGACAAUCUUCAAAAGGCAGUGAGUGGGAAGAGGUACCUCCUCGUAUUGGAUGAUGUGUGGAACCGUGAUGAGCCCAGCAAGUGGGAAAGGUUGAAGUCCUACCUUCAGCAUGGUGGCAGCGGUAGCUCAGUGCUGACAACAACUCGCGAUGAAGCUGUUGCUAAACUAAUGAUGGGUACAACUGAAGGAGCCUAUAAACUUGGAAGCUUGGAUGAAGAGUCCUUAGGGAAAAUUAUCAAGGCAAGAGCAUUCGGUUCAAAACAGCCUGGUGAACUAGUUAACAUGGUUGGUAAAGUUGCCAAGAGAUGUGCUGGUUCUCCUUUAGUUGCUACAGCAUUGGGCUCUUUACUGGGUACCAAGACCAGCAAGCAAGAAUGGGAGGAUGUACUAAAUGGAAGCACGAUUUGUGAUGAGGAAAAUGGGAUUUUACCAGUACUUAAACUAAGUUACAAUUGCUUGCCAUCAUACAUGCGGCAAUGCUUUGCUUUCUGUGCUAUGUUUCCCAAGGAUUAUGAGAUUGACGUGCAAAUGCUAAUCCACUUGUGGAUGGCCAAUGGUUUUAUCCCAGAGCAAUCAAAAGUGUGUCCUGAAACUUUUGGAGAAAGAAUUUUCAUUGAGCUCAAGUCAAGGUCAUUUUUUCAGGAUUUGAAGAAUGUCCCAUUUGAUGACAAAUAUUCUAUUUAUAAAAAUGGCAAUAAGCACAGGUAUUGUUCUAGAAUUACUUGUAAGAUCCAUGACCUUAUGCAUGAUGUUGCACAGUCUGCUAUGGGAGAAGAAUGUGCUGCAAUAGCUACACACCCAAGUGAAAAAGAGGAUGUUCUUCGUUCAGCUCGUCACUUGUAUUUGUCAAUCCGUCAACCACAAACUCUUCUGAAUGCUUCCCAAGAGAAAGGAUCUCCAGCUUUCCAAACACUGAUUUGUGACGGAUAUGUAGGAGAUUUGAAGAUUUUAUCAAAAUACAACUCUAUAAGAGCUUUAAAGAUCGUGUGUGGUUCAAUCUUAAGGCCGAAAUAUCUUCAUCACCUGAGGUAUCUUGAUCUCUCAGAAAGUUUCUUUGAAGCACUUCCUGAAGACAUUAGCAUCCUAUAUCAUCUGCAAACACUGAACCUUUCUUACUGUGACCGGCUUAAACGGCUUCCAAAGCAACUGAAGUAUCUGACUGGCCUCCGUCACCUCUACACUCACGGAUGUGGAAAGUUGAAAAGCAUGCCCCCAGAGCUCGGACGCCUAACUUCCCUACAGACGCUUACAUACUUUGUAGCAGGUGCCGAUGGCUCUGGUUGCAGUAAUUUGGGAGAGCUGCAGAAUUCGGACCUUGGUGGUACACUGAAGCUAAGCAAGCUAGAAAAUGUGACAGGAGCAGAUGCACAAGCAGAUGCAGAAGCAGCAGGUCUUGGAAAAAAGAAAAAACUGACCGAACUGGAGUUAUGUUGGACCGAUAGUGACCAGGAAGCACAGAAUAAUAAUCAUAAAGAGGUGGUGGAAGGUCUCAAACCUCAUGAUGAGUUGAAGGCUCUGAGGAUAAAUCACUGUGGGAGCAGAACUUUUCCAACGUGGAUGAAUACUUUGAAAGGCAUGGUGAACCUGAAAUUAUUCCAUUGCAAAAAGCUCGAAGAGCUUCCUGCACUCUGGGAGCUACCAGCUCUGCAAAUUCUUGGCCUGGAGGGUUUGGAGAGUUUACAUUGUUUGUGCAGCGGUGGUACUACACUCUGGGAGUUCACAUUUCCAAAACUGAAGGUGCUUACCUUGUUAGAAAUGGCAAAAUUUGAGGCAUGGUGGGAGACACAUGAGGUACAAGGAGAAGAGCCGAUAUUUCCCAAGGUUGAGGAGCUGGAGAUUAAGGAGUGUAAAAGUUUGACUGCAUUACCAAAAGCAGCGUCGGUGAUUACAGAAUUGUCUGGCGGAGUUAACACUAAGUGCCGCUCUGCAUUUCCAGCAUUAAGGAAAAUGACGCUAGGUGGGUUGAAUAUGUUUGAAAGAUGGGAGGCAGGCGAAGGAACUCCAGGAGAAGAGGUAACAUUUCCUCAGCUCGAGGAGCUGUCAAUCUGGUCUUGUGGCAGCCUGAGUGCAUUAUCAAAAGGGCCAUUAUUGGCUAAGCAACCAUUUGGCGGAGCUGAAACUGCAACCGUUUGUCAUUAUAUUAAGAAGAAAAUACCGUUUUGGUACAACGCACGCACACGGCCUACCAGCCGCUCUGCAUUUCCAGCACUGAGAAAACUAAGAUUAUCUGAUUUGUCGGCCCUUGAGAGGUGGGGGGCAGCCGAAGGAACUCCAGGAGAAGAGGUAACAUUUCCUCUGCUGGAAGAUUUGGAAAUUCGUGGCUGCCCGAAGUUGACUGAUCUACCUGAAGCACCCAAUCUAAGUGAAUUAUCCAUGAGAAAAGGUUGUUAUCAGCAGCAAAUAUCCCUACAGGCAGCUAGCAGAUUCAUCCCUUCAUUGUCCCGUCUGGGUCUGGAUGUGUCACCCGAUGACACAGAAACAACAUUACUGAAUGUCAAGAAGAAAUUGAAUGGUACACUCGCCUUGGCAGCUAUGGGGUUAGGUCGGUGCGACCUUUUUUUCUCCUCCCGCUCAAGCGCACUGGCGCUAUGGACAUGUUUUGCACAGCUAGUAGAUUUGGAGAUUCGGUAUUGCGAUGCUCUUGUCUACUGGCCAGAAAACGUGUUCCAGGUCCUGGUAUGCCUGAGGAACUUAAAGAUUUCCAGAUGCAUCAAACUGACAGGAUGCACACAAGCUUCUGAUGAGCAAUCUGCUCCAGCUUCACAACAUGGUGGACUCCUGCCAUGCCUGGAGUCUCUAGAGAUAGAAAAUUGUGAAUCUUUGGUAGAGGUCCCCAUCCUGCCGGCAUCUCUCAAGAAAUUAUAUAUUCGCAGCUGCAGUAGUAAUGUCGGGUCCAUCGUAUUUGGUCACCCGGAGGAUACGAGAUUGCUGAGUGCAGAAGGUGUUGUACGGCCGAAGACGUCAUCAUUAAUUCCAGGGUGCAACAGCAGUGAGGCCACAGCGUCUACAGCUGUACUGAAGCUGUCAUCUGCAGCCAACCAUCACUUCCUUCCAUUUCCAUGCCUAGAAUCUCUAUAUAUAGAUUAUUGCAGUGGCUUGUCAGAGGUUGCCAAUCUUCCUCCGUCUAUCAAGACCUUGUACAUUUGUGAGUGCGGCAAGCUUCAAUCCUUUUCAGGAGACCUCCGGUUGCUGGAAGAACUCACGCUUUGUCGAUGCAAAAGACUGGUAUCCUUACCGGAUGGGCCUCAAGCAUACUCAUCUCUUAGAGUUCUUCGGAUAAUACAGGAUGGUAUAAAGUUGCUUCCACCAAGCCUACAUAGCCGUUUGGGUUACCUCGAGGUUAAAAGACUAGAUGACCGUCACGAAGGUAAUCUCCAGUUUCUUUGUUUCUUUUAACAAAAUGAUCAGGAGCUUAAUUGUUGUUGCCUAAAAUGCAACUCUGUGCUUAAACAUUCUGUUACCUAUUACAAGAUGUGGUAGGAUUCAGUGAUAAAAAUUUAACGAGCGCAAUAUUUUGAACCUUUUUAGCCAAUUGUUGUUGAUAUAUACAUUAUAUCGAGUACAAUGCACCACUAAUACCUAUAUUUAUGUGCACUUGUGUCAGUUAAAUCCAUUAACUUUCAUAUAUUGCACAUACGGGGUAUCUAAACACUUACAGCUGGAUCAAGAAGUUUAUACACCAAUAUACACUUCACUUUACUGUAGUCAUCCUUGUAUAUCUCCUUUUUGUCCGUACAAAGAAUUUAACUAUAAGAUGAUCUUUGUGGUUCGCUUUUGAUACCUUGGUUGUAAACUUGUAUUUGCUAACUCGAAUCAUGUAAUAAAAUCAAUCAUUUUCCUUUAGUCGUAUUUAAAGCAGCAUGGCAUCAUGGAAUUAUUGCAGCCGAAUUCACUAGCUCCAAUUAAAGUGGCACUUGUCUUGGCGUUUCUCUGGAAAUUCAGUAGCUCCAUUGCAUACAGUUCAAGUAUGUGUAGUUUUGUUUUCAUGGCUUAUGCCUUUUGACAUAAAUAAUAAUUUUCUUUUGAAACAUUUACUAUUGGGUGCCACAGCAUAUUCUCCUGUGUAUAUAUACUUUCUAACAUCAUCUAUGAUCAUGGCCUGAUUGCCAGAACCAACCUGGAAACGUUCAAUCAGGAAGCUGGUGUGCUCGAAAUAGUAGAUCAAGGCCUGACCAAAGAAAAAGUUAUUCAAGGUAUUUUUGCAAAGAUAUCACUAAGGUUUUUAAUAUUAGUGUUCUUGAUGAUUGAUUUGAAAUGAUGCUAGCUCCUAAUGCUGACUUUCUAUGCGCUGUGACUUCCUUGUAGGAUCGUGCCAGAAACGAAGACCUUUAUUUUGAGCAGAAGCGAAGUUCUAGACUGCAAGCAGAAGAAUUUAGCAUACAGAGCUGCGGGCUCCAGUCUUUUAUCCUUAUUUUUAUUUCUUUUGAGCCAUGACGUGUUUGCAUUCGUGUCUGCUUCAGCCUCCAACACAAGCGAAACACAGGCAGCACUUUCAUUUUAUGAUUUGUUUAUCCACAUACAUGACCGACUGCCGUAGAGUAGACCAACAGUCCAACGUACUCAUGUAGCUCGACAAGCUAUCCAAGCUGCUGCUUUAUAUGAACUGAAAGUGCUGAAUUUUCUCCUGCAUCCUGGAAGGCUUUGGAUGGCACGGUCUUGUGCAGAGGUCUCAUUGUUGUUAACCUGUUUCUUCAAAACUGCAUGUACAGCAACAUUUUCUCCUGGCAGUGCUGCAAUGGAAUUGAAAAGAAUGGUGAUUCUUAUUAUAGUAUAAUUGUGAUGUAUAGGCUGGGACGCAAAGCGAUGAAUGUACAUGCAUGAGCAAGGAAGAAGGGGAUGGAACAGAACAGAGCAAGAACGAACUGCCAGAGCAAGAAGAUGAACGUUAUCUGUAUAGAUAAAAAAUUUUAAUAAAAAUUUUCAUGAGUUAUCCUUUGUCUGGGGCUACAGUACCAAUCCUGCAUUUCGAAUUUGGGACUGCCCUCCUUCAUGGUGUGAUCCAAAUUUCAACAAAAAUUAUCGUAGUGUGGCUACGGUUGUUUCAUACGAUAACUGUCAAUGACACGGUGGCACAUGCAGCUGCGCACGUAGGACAGAACCGCCAACUCACCCCGCCACGUCAACUCCUCUCAACAGCGAUGCUCCCCAAGCGAGCAGAGCAGCGAAGCCCGCCUCGAAAUCUCCGCCACCCCCAUCGAACUUGCCACACGCCACCACCACGGGAUCUCCCUCCACAGUCUCCGCUCCCACUCCCCCGCCACAGCCAUGGCCGCCGCCGCAGCAGCGCACUCCCUCCUGCACCCACCGGCGGCCCGCAAGGCCCCCACAAGUUCUUCCUCUCCUUCCCCUUCCCCAUUCCUCCGCCUCCCGGCCCCCGCGCGCCCGCGCCUCCCGCUACGCCUCCGCUCCACCUCCCCGGCCGCCGCCUCCGACCUCACCGACUUCCCCAACCCGAACGGCAUCCUCGCGCCCAUCGACGUGGACGCCGCCACGGAGGCGGAGCUUCGCGAGAACGGGUUCCGGAGCACGCGCCGCACCAAGCUCGUCUGCACCGUGGGCCCGGCCACCUCGUCGCCCGAGCAGCUCGAGGCGCUCUCCGUCGGCGGGAUGAACGUCGCCCGCCUCAACAUGUGCCACGGGGACCGGGAGUGGCACCGGGGCGUCAUCAGGGCAGUCAGGAGGCUCAACGAGGAGAAGGGCUACGCCGUCGCCGUCAUGAUGGACACCGAGGGCAGCGAGAUCCACAUGGGGGACCUCGGCGGCGCCUCAUCGGCCAAGGCGGAGGUGAGGUGCUGUGCUUGUAUGUAAGCUGCUGUCCAGUUUUGGACUUGGCGUUGCAGUUUUCAGUUUUCAGAUUGUACGCCUUCACUUGAACGUAUUCCGUGAAAUGUGCUUGUGCAAUGUGGAUGAGAGGAACGGGUGGUGGCAGUGGCAGUGUCAGGCAUUGCCGUUUCAUACUUCUGCAAAACCUAGCGAGUCAGGAUUUCACCAAAAUGUUUUUUUUCCAUCUUCAAAAUGGCUCAGUUGAUUUAGAUUUUCAGCUCAUGUUUGAAAUUGCUAUAGAAGGAGAAUCAUUCAGAAUUUCAGAUUGUCAUCAAACACUGGAUUGUGAAAGUGGUAAUCAUUUUCAAGGCUUUCAAUCUUUCAAAAAAAAAUCAAGGCUUUCAGUAUCAGUGCAACUCAAAUAAAGUGCAUGGUAAACAUCACCAUGUUUUGGCUUUCUCUGCAUAUAAGACAGGGUGCUGGAGUGGUUCGACCGCGUUGAGGUCCCAAUCCAACCGGUCGGGUUUUUUUCUAGGUGUCAAGUUUGAGUGCUUACCCGUAUUGACAUCCCAAUCCAACCGGGCGAGUCUUGUUUAUUUUUCGUUUCUUUUCCUUUUCCUGCCUAUGGCCUCCCAGGGCUGUAGUCUUGUAUUUUCUGCUAUAUCAAUACAAACUCGCACUAUCUUGUGCGGUUCGUUCAAAAAAAAAGUGAUAGGCAUUGAGGUUCUGAAGGUUGUUUUUUAGAUCUUAGGCCCAAGCCUCAAAUGGCUUUUUUCCCCCUGUUGCAAACCUUCCUUUAAGUAUUGCAUCUAGCACCGGGGAAAACACAGGAAUAUCUUUCAUUUCAGCAACAGAAUCUCUUAUAAAAAGGGCGUACCCAGUGCGAAAGCUCCCACACAAGGUGGGGUCUGGGGAAGGGAAUUCCUAGACAACCUUAUCCUUGCAAUAUUCUUUUAAAAUUCUGCAAAGAGGCUGGUUCGAACCCAGGACCUCCGGGCCACAAGUGGAGAGUUUAAUUUGAAUUAGCUUUAUUAGUAGAAUGCUUGGCCCAUUUAUUGGUAAAUGGUAAAAUUCAUAAAGAUUAUCCUUAUUCCGUUAAUCAAUUUUAGGUGUUUAACUUGCAGCAAAUUCGAACAAUGACAGACAUGCAGCAUAUUGUUAGUUCAUCUGUAAGACUUAGCUUGCUGGUUUAAUGCUUUGUUAAAGGUUUGAAGUUAAUGUGUCUACUGGUAGCUACUGAAUCUCUUUAUAGUUUAUUUAUAUCUUUUUUCUUUAUUAGUAUAAAGCCAUGUAGAAGUUUUCAGAAUACUGAAAUUUCUAGUGUUCGUUUUGUGGAGUCUCUCCACCUACAUCCUUUUUUACAACUGCAUUUCAGAUCCUUCAGUUAUAGCAUGAAUAUUUUUUAAAAAAGAAACUUCUAGGUAUAUUCUUGCCCGUAGUUAAUGUUAGUGUCUGAUGAUAGUUGUGUUUUAGAUAAUACAUUAAUAUUAGUAAUCCAAAGAAACUGAACUACUUCUAUGAUUCUAACUGUCAUCAGUGCUAGCUAGGGUCACUAUGCCAAAAGGAGAUUAUAUCACCAUUCGGCUGUUUAUCUUAAGUUUUUAACCAUACAGUCAGAAGUUUGAUUGUACACCUAUUCAAUAAUCCUAGGUUUUCUUGAGCCACGUUAUUUACCCAAUGACUUCCAUUUUUCUUGGAAUUAAAACAUUUCUGAAGUAACUAAUAAAUCAUCUCACAUUUGUUGGAUUCCACAGGAUGAAGAAGUCUGGACAUUUAGUGUUAGGUCAUUUGAAUUGCCUCUCCCAGAACGAACUAUUAAUGUGAUUAUGACGGGUUUGCUGAAGGUAUAUAAGCUGACCUAUUUGUUGAUAUCUUUCGCUGUUAUUGUUCACUGCCAUAAUUUUGCAUCAAAAUCCUACACAGAUGUGAGAGUUGGUGAUGAGCUUCUUGUGGAUGGUGGAAUGGCUCGGUUUGAGGUGAUUGAGAAGUUGGGACCAGAUGUUAAGUGUCGCUGCACGGAUCCUGGUUUAUUGUUGCCACGUGCGAAUCUUACAUUCUGGCGUGAUGGCAGUAUUGUCCGUGAGAGGAAUGCUAUGCUUCCUACAAUUUCAUCAAAGGUAAAUGCAGUAGCAUAAUAAAUUUCUUGCUGCAAUUACCAAAAGACCGCAAAACUUUGUUAAUCUAUGCCCCCCCUUGGUACUAGUAUUGCAAUGGAUUUACAGCUUGUUUUUUCUGUCAAUGCCAUGGUCAGUUCAAAACAACAUGUAUUAGUUCAAAGCCUUACAUUGUGCACUGAAACUCAUCUCUCGAUAGUUUUUGUCAGCUAUUUCUUAAGAAGGCUUCUACCACCUAGAGUUGUUUAACUGAAAAUUUAAUCUUCUAGUAGCAGAUACUAAUAUUUUAAGUUUAUAACAAUGCUGCUCCUUUUCUUGUGACAACUUGUGCAGGAUUGGCUUGACAUAGACUUUGGAAUUGCCGAAGGUGUAGAUUUCAUCGCUGUUUCAUUUGUCAAGUCAGCAGAAGUAAUUAAACAUUUUAAAAGCUACAUAGCUGCAAGGAGCCGUGGCAGGUACCAGGAGUAUAAUUCUGUACUGUUAUUUAAGUUUAUGCUUUCUUGGAAAAGCCAUAUUUGACAUUAUUAAACUGAUAACGGGUGUUCCUAGAACUGUUCUGCAUGCUUAGCCACUGUUUGUGGUUGGUUCCUGGUCAGUCCCAGAUGAUUACUCAUACUGGUAGGGUUUUAGUUGUAUUCUAACCCCCAAAAAAUCAGCCUGGAAUAUAUUGGUUUCUAUGUAGUUACUAGAGAAAACAGUGAAUCAACAAGAUAUCCCCUUUCUGGUGUUCCUCCUUUUCUAAAUAAUGCUGUGGAACAACAUGAUUCACGGAAGAAUAAUAAGAACUGUUUAAAAUUGUAUGGCUUGCCUCAACCUGGUGUCUUCUCUGUGCCAAAAAAACAACACUUGGUGUCAGGUGUCAUCUCAGCACCUACAAUUCAUCUGCAUGCACUAGAAAAAUUGUGUGUGUGUAGCUCCUGCCAAAAUUGCCAGUUUGCCAUUGUACGUCCAUCUCAUGUUUUGUGGCUAAAACUCAGUUAGUGACACAAAAAGUUACCUAGAUUAAAAUCGCUAAUCCCAAACCGCAAGUGAUAUCAAUCUUGCUAUGUUAUCUUUUAUACUUCAAUUAAUUGGGCCUUGCAAACAUCCAAAUCAGAAAGGAUUGCUAGUACCGUGUUUCUGAAAUGUUUCCUUCAUUUUGCUGAACUUUAUAGGUUCCUUACUCUAAUAAUGCUUUAUUUUAUAUGAUCAGUGAUAAGCAGUCAUUGCGAAAAUUGAGAGCAUUGACUCUUUAAAGAACCUGGAGGAGAUCAUCCGAGCAUCAGAUGGUGCCAUGGUAGCCACUCUGGAUAUGGGGGCACAGGUUCCCUUGGAGCAGGUCCCCUCAAUACAAUAAAAGAUAGUUCAACUGUGCAGGCAGCUCAACAAGCCAGUCAUUGUUGCUUCUCAGCUCCUUGAAUCAAUGGUCGAGUAUCCUACUCCCACAAGGGCCGAAGUUGCCGAUGUUUCUGAAGCUGUCCGCGCCAGCGUGCGGAUGCUCUAAUGCUUUCUGGUGAGUCAGCAAUGGGAAGAUAUCCAGAGAAGGCUCUUAGUGUUCUGAGGAGCGUUAGCCUCAGGAUUGAGAAGUGGUGGCGGGAGGAGAAGCGACAUGAGGCACUGGAACUUCAAGGUGUUUCAUCUUCAUUCUCUGACAAGAUAUCAGAAGAAAUCUGCAACUCGGCAGCUAAAAUGGGUAAGUACUGCCACCAUCGUAUUCAGUGCAUACCAUAGUUAUGUUGUCAUAGCAACUGAUAUAGCAGCUGACGCCAUCUUUGUUUUCACAAAGACUGGCCACAUGGCCUCCUUGCUCUCACAGUGCCGUCCUGACUGCCCAGUUUUCGCCUUCACAACAUCGACGUCCGUCAGGAGGCGGCUAAACCGUCAGUGGGGCCUCAUCCCAUUCCGCCUCAGCUUAGCAACUGAUAUAUUCAAUUGCUUUGCUGUCUCAUCUUCCUAUUAUUGUCCAUUAUCUUGGUUACUGACAGAACAUUUAGAUUCCAUUUUCUUAGAAGCUGUGUCUAAACAAAACCAAUUUCAUCUGCAGCUAACGGCCUGGGAGCUGACGCCGUCUUUGUUUUCACAAAGACUGGCCACAUGGCCUCCUUGCUCUCACGGUGCUGUCCUGACUGCCCAGUUUUCGCCUUCACAACGUCGACGUCCGUCAGGAGGCGGCUAAACCUUCAGUGGGGCCUCAUCCCAUUCCGCCUCAGCUUCUCAGACGACAUGGAGAGCAACCUGAACCGCACCUUCUCCCUGCUAAAGGCCAGGGGCAUGAUCCAGUCUGGCGACCUGGUGAUCGCCCUCUCUGACAUGCUGCAGUCCAUCCAGGUGAUGAACGUACCCUAAGAAAGAGCCUAAUCCUCUGUGGGAUGAUCAUAUGAGAUGGAAGAUGGACCAUGAACUUUAUCGGCACCUUGAAGGACAGUUCCUUGCACCAAAAUUAUUCGCUUUCACCCUGUAUUAGAUGCUGGGCAGGACUAGAGAACUGUGGCAAUAAUUUGCAGCUUUGUGCCCUGCUGUAAAACUGUUAUAUUACUAUUAGCUUUAUUUAUAGUCUGACCUUGGGGUGACUCUUUAAUGUGCAAGCUUUGGGUCUUGCUGUGGGCCGUAAUGGGCUUAUAAGUGAAGCGCAGGGAGAAGAGGAAGAACCCGCUGAAGAACAUGGCUGCUGUGCUCAAGCUCAACCCCUACCUCGGCACUGCCCGCAAGAUGGCUACCCUCGCUAAGGUUGCCCACAUCAAGGCAAGGAAGGAGAAGCUCGAAUCCAAGAGGACCAAGCUUAGCCCGGUAUGACCAUUUUUCUCCCUCCAUUUCAUUUCUGAUUAUGUCAAUAAUACCUGAAUUGAUCACUUAGAUUGCACAUGUAGUUCUGGUGUACUGUUUAUGACUUGUAGUGUUUGCUAUGGUACAUUUUCUGCCCCUUGUAUGAAUGGUUUAAUUUGUUUGAUGUAUCAUAAUUUGAGCAAAUUUCAUUGCUUGAAAGUAUUAGUACUGGAGUUCUGUGUGAAUAACAUGAUUCUGCUGUAGUGAUUCUUGUUGUUGUUUAGUUAUGUGCAUUGAUCUAAUGUUGUGCCAACAAAUAUUCUUGUAAUUGCGCGUUUGUGCUGUAUCAGUAUGCAUGGGUAAUCUAGUUUGUCAUUGUUUACUAUUUGCUCAGGGUGUUUCGGUACCCUUAAUUGCUUUUAGUAAGGCAUUUGUCUAUGUUCUGUUCCAUUUCUUUAUAUGCUAGUAGAUAUCUGAGCAAUUGUUUGUUCUACUCUUUUCUUAGAAAUGAUUUAUGGUACUGGAAGCUUCGGUAAUCUUUGCAUAUAUGGCAUAUGACAUGCCCUGGUAACUCAUGGGUCAGGGUUUAUCUUGAAUGUUUUAGUUCGAUCCCUCUUGUUGAUUUGUGUUCUGAAUUGGUAACUUGGGACUAUGCCUUGUUAGAAUGUGAUGAAUAGAUUGAUGUUUUACUAAGCGUUUUGAUUACAGAAUACUAGAAUGAAUGUUAUUACAUUAUCCAUGUUUCGAACUGAAUCCCAAAAUUUACUGAAUCCCUUCACAUCCAUAUAUCUCCUGAAUAUUUGUUUAACUGUAUAGUUUGAUAUGUUUACAUUGUUGUCAAGAUUCUUUGUUGCAUGCCCAUAUAUCUUCUGAACACUACAGAACUGACCAAUAUGUGAACUACUGUUGGUUUAAUGUAUCAGAUGCUGAUUAUUUCGUUCAGCUGUAUGCCCUUUUGUCAACAAACACGUACUGAACAAUAUCUGUAGAUCCAUUGUUGUAGGAGGAGGCUGCCAAGGUCAAGGCUGCUGGAAAGGCAUGGCACAGGACCAUGAUCUCAGACAGCGACUACACCGAGUUUGAGAACUUCUCAAAGUGGCUCGGCGUGACUCAGUGAGCGGGUGCUAUCUAGUUAAGUUUUGAGUAGUAGUGUGGCUGAACUUAUCUCGAGAGGGUUUAUCACUUUGUUUUAUCCUGCAUCAUCAUAAGAAUUCAAUCUGUGGGAUUUUAAGACAAGUCUUCCUUUUUGUUAAUGCGUUGCUGUGAAAUCAUUCUAGUAAAUAUUCACCUUGACGAUCUUUUGGAAGGACAGCGACCACAAAAAUUAUGAAUUGGGUAGAUGGAGGAUUUAUGUGCUGUAUUGAGAGAGCCCGUAGGUGCUAGAUUUCUCCGGAAACGUUCGAUUUAAGCUUGUAGAUAUUGUGAUGAAUCCCGUCACCAUUUUCCCAUGAAACAUUCUGAAAGUUCUGGUAGUGGUAUCCACUGCUGCAGUUUUACAAGCAUGUAGGGUUGUUCCUCUGUUUGUUGAUUAGGUAUUAUGUUUUGCACAGUCUUAAAGUUUAGAAGGUAAUUACCCAGGUGUUCAAGUAUACCUUCAAGUUUUUUUUUACACAGUGUACAUAUUACCUUGUUAUAGUGAGAACAGAGAAGUCCACCGCAAAAGUAAAGCCCAGCAUAUAUUGUUCUUGCAAUAGACCAUGUGUGUAUAUGCCCCUUUGUAGGUUGAUUAUUCCAUUCAGAACAUAGCAUGGACCUCUAUAGUGUUUUGGAUAAAUUUUUUUAUUAUAAAGGUACUUGCCGAGGCACCAAUUUGGGAGUCUGCGGGGUAAAAUGUUCCCGGCGUACUUCAUAUUGAUAUCAGUGUGUUCAGCGAUAUCUGUUGCAGCAUUUGCAUACCUGCAUGGAUUCCUUCUUUCGGCCCUUAUCUGUAACCUUUCAAACCUUCUGGUCAUCACACCUAUGAUGGUUGAAGUAAAAUACUUUGUUUGUGGCCUUGAGCUUUUUACUACCUCUCGUUUUGCAUUUGCCAGAUGCUAGUGUGCUAGUUAUACAGAAUAUCACAAAAUUAUAGUUUGAGUAUGUGAUAAUAUCGGUACUAAUGAAUGGAAUCUUACACUUUUGAUAUGCAAUUUUGAGAUUUACUUUGCUGAUGGUAGUAGAGGUAUGUAAAGCAAAAGAAAGUUACUUUUAAAUUAUUAGUUAUAUGGUUAUAUUUUAUAGGUCAGCGAUUUCUGAGUACUAGUCAUAGCAGCGCUCACAGGAAUAUACUGACUUGUUCUUUAUUUUAUUUUCAAGAAUUAAUACAGAUAGCAUAAAGCAGAAUCCAGUCCAUGAAUAGUUAGCGAUCUAGCAUCUGGAGGUGAAAAUCUAGCUUGGUUAGAACUUAGAAGCAUAGUUGUGGAUAAAAUUUGUGGGAAUCUAAUUUGACAAAACAAGUAGACAUGUCUGGCUGCAUAUAUGAACCUUUCAAACUGCAUCUUAUUGUUUCUGAGAUCUGAUUGGUGUUUUUUCCACAUUUGCAUUGUAGCACACAUCACUUGGAUAUUGUUUUAGAGAGCAAACUUGACAAUCGAGAUAUCUUGAUUGCUGAAAUCGAUGCUGACAAUGUUCUGUUAUUUGAGUAGGAUAGGGGUUAUACAUAAAAAAAAUAAGAAGAGAGAAUGUGCCUUGCAGGCUUGUACUUUGGUUGGUUGAGCAUUGCUCUUUGUAGUUUGCGCUUUAAUUUUCACCUGUGCCUAUUGAAUUGCUCUCUUUCACCUAGAUGAUGAUGAAGAGGUACAAGAUAGAAGGACCUCGUGAGGCCGGGUACUCCAAGAAUGAGGAGAUGGCCAAGAGGAACCCUGCCCUGGCGGCAAUCAGUCAGAAGUUCAGGAUGAUCCACGUGCUGUCGUCACUGGCCAGCCCCAUGUCCUUCGGCAGCCUGGCCAUCCACUCCUGAUACCUCCCCAGCAAGCUCGACCCGUGACUGCCUGACCGAGUGUUAGCUGGUGCCUGGUGAGUGGUGACCUACGAACUCUGAACUUAGCCUAGGUUUCUGUGGAGAAAAAAGAAGUCAUGUCUGUGCAAGAACAUUGGUCCUCGGGAUGAUAUGAUUAGCCUUUAAUAAUGUACAUAAUGCAGGAAGUUCGUUUCAUUUUGUAAUUUGUGUAUAGGAAAUGUGUCUGUGGCAAAUUCCUGAUAUUUUACAGUCAAGAAAUGCAGCUAAACAUGGUCUCUCGGCUCAUGGAGCUUGGGUACAAAGAAAUGACUAGGAUCUUCUGGAACUUUUAGAAUGCCUACUAUCUGAAAAAAAAAUAUUGGCCAGAGAUGACGAGUUUGGUAUGCAUUCCUGAACACUGGUUUCUCUUGUCUGGUGGUCCAAAACCAUAUGGCGUUCCUUCAUCUAGGCCAAAUCUAUUAUAUUCACUUUCUGAAGAUAAUAUCCAGUGAAGCCAAGCCGAAGUCUAGAAAACAAGUCCACAUUGCAAACUGAAGAAUUUAGCAUAUGGAACUCCAUGCUCUAGUCUUUCAUCCUUCUUCAAGCUGAAGUCCUUGAUUUUGAUCACAAAACAAGUCCCAGACUGCAAGUUGAAGAAUAUAUAGCAUAUUGAUCGAGCUCCAUGCUCCAGCUUUUUAUCCUUAUAUUUUCUUUUGAACUAUGGCGUGUUUGAACUCUGUGUCCGCUCCAGCGUAAGCAAAACACAUACACAGCUAGCACUUUCAUUUCAUGACGUGUUUGUCUACAUUACUGCAGAAGUACUUGCCAUAGAAUAGGUCAACAAUCCAACAUACUACUACUCAUGUUGUUGUUCGACAAGCUGUCUAAGCUGCUGCUUGAAUACGAACUGAAAGUGCUGAACUUUGUCCAUGUUAUGUUGGUAGUAUAUCUAAUACUGAACGGUGUGCAGGGUGAUCCUGCAAGGCUUUUAGAUAGCACGGUCUUGUGCAGAGGUUACGUCUGCUCUGUUUCUUCAAAGUUACGUCUGCUCUGUUUCUUCAAAGUUACGUCUUGCAAUUGCCGUAACAUUUCUGCUGGUAAUUCUGUAAUCUCUACUAUAAAAAAAGCAAAGAGGACACAAAAAUGCGGUCCGUCGUUUGGCCGCCGGGCGAUGUCCCUCGCUCCAGACAUUUUGGGCCGUCCGCUUGCAGCACCCUCCGCGCGCAGCCGUUGAUUUGGAGAUUCCGUGAGUUGCGGUGCACGCGCUUCCUCCUCUGUCCGUUUCCCUCCGCGCGGAUCCCUUCCUCCUGCGGUCCUGCCCAUGCGUCGCCAUCCGCCGCCGACGCAACUCCCUCAGUCGCGCCGCCUGCCGCCGCCGCCGCCACUCCCUCCGUCGCCGCAACUUCUCCCUCCCUGCGUCGCCAUCCGCCGCCGCCCCUCCCUUUCUUCACCUCCGCGCCGCCAGAAACCCCCGUCCCUGCCUGCGUCGCCAUCCGCCACCGCCCCUCCCUUUCCUCGCCUCCGCGCCGCCGGAAGCCACCGCCCCUCCCUUUCCUCGCCUCCGCGCCACCAGAAGUCACCGCCCCAUCUUGAGUCGCCUCAUCGCCGCAAGCGACUCCGCCCCUCCCUGAGUCGACGGAACACCAACAGUCGAGGCUACGCUGCACGCCAACUAGAUUUCUCAGUUCGUUGGGUUUGAUCACGGUACCUCUCAGUUUCUUAGUUUGUCGUGCAUCUGAACUUUGUGUGACGUUCAUGUUCUUGUCAUUUGAUUUGUUUGGUCGGUGUUCAUGUUCUUAGAAUCUGGUGCUACGUGACAUUAUAGGCGGUGUUGUGUUUUCUGAAUUGUCGGCGACUUGAAAAUUUGAGAUUCAGAUCGUGAUUUGUUUAGGUGGACAAUUAAAAUUUGAUGAUAUGUCCUUCCCGAGAGCGAAUUGCGCGCGCACAGCGGCGGCAAUGGCACCGCCGCGUUCGCACCUGCUGCCCGCCUUGCUCGUCCUGAAUUGUCGGCGACUUGAAAAUUUGAGAUUCAGAUCGUGAUUUGUUUAGGUGGACAAUUAAAAUUUGAUGAUAUGUCCUUCCCGAGAGCGAAACGUAUUAACUGUGGUAAUUGAGGAUGGUAGAGAUAAUUUACUCUGCAUGUAAACUGAGGACUGAGAUUCAAGAGUAAUCAUAGAACACGUAGACCACAUUGACUGGAAAAUUAGUCCUCUCCAAUUUUUGCUGAUCUGUCCCUGAUAGUACAUAAUUAUUUUGCCACUUUUUGUGCAAGCUUAUCGAUGUACGAAUUCAUAAUGGAAAGUAAGGAUUGCGAUAGUAGGGAUUGGGAUAUUUGUUAUGCUUAUCGAUGCUUAUGGCAAUGCUUCAUAAAAGUAGUAUACACCGCCGUGCACUUCGAAUUCAUGAUGGACAGUAGGGAUUGUGAUAUGUGAUAUGCUUAAGGCAAUGCUUCAUAAAAAGAGUAUGCACCUCCGAGCACUUCAAGUGUACUCUGAUGCACACACAAGCACACAGUUCUAGAUGGUUAAGCCGGUCUGUGAUUAGCAAGAUUUUCAUGAGAAUGGUAUCAGUUAUCAGACAUUCUGUGAUAUCUUGAAUGGAAAAAUAAAAUCAAAAAGGAAAGCACGAUAAAUAGAUAAUUUUUCUUGAAUUCUCCCAUAUUCAGAAAAUUGACUGACCGAGUGUGGAUAACUCCUUUUUUUUGUUACUUGGACCUCAGUUGGCCUUUAUAUUACUCUGAAUAUGUAAGAUUUCAAUAAACAGUAAAUUUGAGGAGGAUUUGCUAUCAUCUUUUGAAUCGUUCAUCCCGGUGGCAGAUUUCUUGAUUGCCUUAAUUGGGGCUGCCCCAGUUAAUGAGAACUAAAUAGCUCUCAUGAUGAAAACAAGUGUUAUUCAUAACAGCUACUUGUAGUGAUGGUGUCUGGCAGAGUACCUUGCUUAUCCAGUGCUUUCCUGUGACAUUCCAUUUUGCUUUUCUCUUGAAGGGUGUUUAUGUUCGUCGGGUUGUGCCUACUGCUCCAGCAAGCAGUGUUUUGUGAAAGGUAACAUGUAGUAAUUAGAUCCAGUUCACAUAUUGAAUACCUUUGGUUGUCCUCCAAUUUUUGCUGAUCUAUCCCACAUAAUUUUUCUUCUUUUUUCCACACAAUUUUUCUUCUUCUUGCCACAUAAUUUUUGCGGCUACCAUGUUUGACAAUAAAAAUUGGUAUACAGUCAUCUACAAAAAUCAUCCCCUGGAUACAAAUAGUACAUCCCCCUGGUACAAAUAGUACAUCCCCCUGGUUAGCAAUUUUGCAGAUGUAGAAGUACAGUUCCAUUACCGGUUAACCACUAUCUACGUUUUUAUUUUCACUAGGAGUUACAUUAAAAUAAUUCAUUCAUAUGUUCUGUAUAAAGGAAUAGACAAAAAUGGCACCACUUUGUUUUACCUAUGUACAAAUAACUGUCUGAUUGGAUAUUACAACAACAAACAAGAAAAGGCUUCAUGAUCAUUUGAAUUAGAACUACAACCUAAAAAAUAAAUGAUCUGUCCAGUUAUUAAUAUUCUGGUUUCAUACUGCAAAAUAGAAAAGUGAUUAAAACAAGUCCAAGUAAUCUGUCCUGCUGCACUUUCUUAUCUAUAAUCCUGAUGCCAAUUUGUUUCAUGUGCCUGGAAGUGAUGGGAGAAGGUGCAGGAGAAGGAUUUAGAAGUUCUUAAUUUGCAGGUGCAAUUUUUUUAUGUGACGCAUCUAUGUGACGCUUGACUUAUCUUAUUUCCAAAAUCUAACACUUCAUACUCGUGCUAAUGAUUAGAACCUGAUGAUUGGGAAGCUGAUGAGGAUGUCGAUCUCGAGACAGCUAAUGAAGAUUCCAACAAACCCGAUGUACCGGAUCCAAACGAUGCGGUUUAUGCCAAUGUCCCUGACGAGACACACAUGCUCAAGCUAGAGGAUAACUGCAAGCACUGCAAUGCAAAGAAGUUUGAGUCCGAGCCACCUGGAUUCUGUUGUCAUAGUGGAAAGAUUCAUCUUUCCACCCCUGAGACACCACCGGAACUCGUGAGACUGUGGUUGAGCUCGGACGCUGAUGCUAGGCAUUUCCGUGCAAACAUCAGAUAUUUCAAUGAACACUUCUCUUUCACUUCUCUGCACUGUAAACUUGAUCGUGUGACCACCGACAUGACAAACUGUGGAAUUUACACAUUUCGUGCCCAUGACCAAAUCUACCAUAACAUAUGAUCAUUUGGUAAAGAGGAUGGUCACGAACCUGGACACCUCGAGCUUUAUUUUUACGACGUCGAUCUGUCUCUUGAGCAUAGGCUCCGCAAGUGCCGUGAGAAGUCUGCCCAAUACAUGGCAUUAAUCCCUGCUUAGAGAAUCUUAGGAGUAUAGGCCAGGUUGACAACCUUGAGGAUUACUCUGUCGAGUUGAACCUUGACCAACGGCUAGACCAGAGAACAUAUAAUGUGCCAUUAACGUCGUUGCUGCCGUUUGGAUUGAGGGGAGCGAGCGUCGGGUCCAGUUCGAUAAUAGUGCUGUCCUCCAAAGGAAGGAUAGGUCGAUCCAUGGUAUUCGGCCCUAUCGUGUGUGCUACGAUGCUCUCUCAUACCUGCUAUUCUUUCCAAGAGGUGAGCUCGGGUGGCACAACUGCAUUCCAAAAGUUGGUGUGACUGAGGUUGAAGUAAAUAAAGCUCGAGCGAUCUGCAAGGCGCGUGCUGAUGGUGGUGGCGACAAUGAUGCUGGUAAAUUCAUAUGUCAUUAUAGUGUCUUACAAACAUUAGACAAAAUUUCCGCAUGUCGUCAAUCACGGCCGCCUUUUUUUGGUUCGUCGUUUGGCUUCGUUUGUCUGCCACGCCGCUCAGUUUUUCACAAGAACAGUCCGUCUCCCCGCCCACGUUCGCCGACAGACGCACCUCACCUCCUCCGUGCUGAACCCGGCCGCACCUCCUCCAUCCGCCCUCCGCCACUUAGCCAAGCCGUGCCUCACCUCCUCUGUCCUCCGAGCGCGGAACCACGCCUGCGCUUUCCCCGCCUGGCCGCACCUCCUACCUGCUACGCUCGGCCGCAGCUCCUCUGUUCGCCGCCAAGCCGGGCCACCUCCGUCCGCUGGGCGUCCAACACCGGCGCGCCACUGCCCAGCUACCCCUCCACACCCCUCCACACCGGCGCCAUCCCCGGCUGCUCCUCCAUGAAGGG